AAAAGAAGUAGUGUAACACUUAGCUUCGCACAUAUUCCUUGAGAUAUUAGAGAAAACCAAACUAACUAUGUGAUGUUCUGAUUAGUGUAUACGUUAGAAUGUGAAUUUGCUAGUGAAGCCUUCCAGAUCAAGGUUCAUCAAACAUAAUUCUAACUAAUUUCUUUACAUAGCUUUGUAGAUAUGGAACAUAUUCCUUGAGAUAUUAGAGAAAACCAAAUCAAACUAUGUGAUGUUCUGAUUAGUGUAUACGGUAGAAUGUGAAUUUGCUAGCAAAGCCUUCCUGAUCAAGGUUCAUCAAACAUCAUAGUAAAUAAUUUAUUUACAUAGCUUCGUAGAUAUGGAUGAAGUUAGUAGGUAGCUUCAUCAAUCAAACCACAUUAAAUUCAACUGUUGAGAAGCUAGUUAGUGUCAAAGAUAGCAUGUAAUCUCUAUUUUUUGGCAUAAUCUCUUCUAUACCCCUAAUCACCUGCUAUUCUUUACCAUCCUUCCUCAUGUAGCUGGAUCUAUUUAAUUGAAAUUGGCCCCACCUGCUAUUCUUUACCAUCCUUCCUUAUUAAGCUGGAUCUAUUUAACUGAAAUUGGCCCGCAUCAAUUGUGCAUGAGCUGAGCUACUUUCAGUCUCAUCAGUUGCCCAUAUUUCCUAAUAAGAUAAAGCAACUUAUAUAUUAGAGCAUAAAAAUUAAUUUAUAGGUAAAACUUUUAUGUGUGUUCUUAGCGACUUAAAAUCCAAUGCUGGAAAAGGAUCUACAUUGAAUAUCUUAAAAUCAACUUUGAAAAUUCAAAUUUUGGCUUUAGUUUAUUAGGGCAACCAAUGGGGCCUUCUUCUUGCUCCUCAUUAUGUUUUCAUGGUAUCAGAAUGGCAUUGAUCCCUCCUGUUCCUUUCCCUUUUUUUUCUCCUGUGCUUCAUCCAUGGCUUCUCCACAGCCUACCAUCGACUGUGUUCCCCCUCCUCCUUACCUUACCUAGGACACAGUGGCCAACCUCAUCACGGUGCUCGCAGCUGCCCAUGCCGCUGGCAAGAACGACAACCUCCUCUCCACCCUCGCCAGGGCAUAUAUAGGUGGCCCAAGAUGCCAUCAUGGCGUCAUCGACACAAGCACUAGGCAUCUCUUUGGCCCUGACGAUCCCGCUACCCGCGCAAGAAUCGGUGCUCCCACCACCUACACCCAACACGCUUGUUUGUGUGACACCCGCGCUCCCUACCCUGAUGUCUGGCGCUCUCAGCAUCCCAAAUGUCAAGAUGGACAUGUCCAUCGUCCUCGACAUAAAAUUUUUGAACUACACCAAGUAGAGAACCUUUUUCGUCAUCUUCCUCAGCAAGUUUGGCUUGCUAAGCCACAUGUUCAAGCCUCCUCCUCCACUCGACACUGCCAGGAUCUGGGCGCAAAAGGACUUCGCUGUACUCAUCGCCCUGUACUACUCCAUCGGAUGUCCUCAACGUCAUCAUAGAGCCCAUGGUAGUUGGCCCACGACCCGUGGGUCGCCGCCAAAGGCAUCUUCCACAACAACCAUGAAACCAGGAUCAUCUAUCUAGAAAUGAAGUUGUGGAGCCUCAUCCAGGGCUACAUGUCGAUGGCAGGCUACUGCUGGCGACUCAAGAUCUCGCUAAUUCCAUGCGCAAUGUUGGCGAACAGAUCUCCAACCACACCCUUGUCCUCAACUUCAUCCACGGCCUCAGCCCUCACUUCACCACCCAGGCAUAACUUCUGCAUCUGCAAGUCGCCUUUCCCACCUUCACAAGUGUCCGCUCGACGCUUCUUCUAGCGGAAAUGCACUGUCCCACCAACUCUUCGCUGCCACCUCGACCAGCCAAUCAAACUCCACCAACAAAGGGAAAAAUGGCAAGGGAAAGGGCAAAGGGAGGAGUAGCGGUGGCAAUGGCAACACUAGGAAUAGCCGUGAUAGUGGUAGCGAUGGUAGAGGCGGUGAUUACCCUAGGUCUGGCAGCCAGAAGUAACUGUUGGCUCCUCCACCCGGUCCAUGAGUGAUGAUGAUCCCAUGAGCCUCUACUCCAUGGGCCGUCUCCCGCAGACCCUCUGGUGGACCAGGCCUUCUUGGACCACAGCCUCAUAUGACGGUUCAACAGGCCUUUCAUACACAAGAAUCUUCCCUGGCCUCUGUGGCUGGAUUGGAGGCGCCUGCCUAGCCCACCUAGGGUCAAGCCAUGUUGCAGCCCUGAACAUCUUGCAACAUAUGGACAAUGCAAUGGUGGAGCAUCUCCAGCAAUAGGCCUUAUUUUUAAGCCCCUAAAAGUUAAAUGAGGGCUGCCCCCAUUUCCCAAGGACCCAAAAAAUGCCUCCAACUCCAGCGGUAGCCCCUACUUCUUAAUUAGUCCCUACUCAUUUUUAUCUUGUAUAUUAAAACACAAUCCAUGUUUACACUACGUUUCCACAAUAAUUCAAACAUAAAUAUUUCUAACGCAUAUAAUUUAACCAUAAUUAAAUUCACAAUUUCAAACACCACAAUUCAAAUUCAAAAUCAAAAUUUUCAAACAUGUAAAUAUGGUGUGGGCAUAGUGCCAUAUACAACAAAAACAUGCAACCAAGAUUCAUAAUUCACCAAUAAAAAUGAAAAUUACUCAUAAAAAAUCUUUCAGAUUUCCAAGUUCAGAGAACGUAAACUGAGCAAGCUAUAUUCUGAUAAUCAAAAUCAAUAAAUGAACUGUACUUCAUUUGAUUACCGGUGAUAAUUUACAAGUACGGUGCUGAAGAACAAAACAAAACACUUUACAAAAAUCUGAAACAUGGUAGACGCAACAAAUCGAGCAGACCCUCACCUGAUUUGGAAAGUGGGGGACGUCACCGGAGAGGGCGCAGCGGAGGAGAGGUACCGGGGUGGUCAGGGGUGCCUGGGAGGAGAUGGUGCCGGCACUAGAUGGAGGAGCGUCGGGGAGGAGGGGCACCAGGGUGGACAAGGGUGUCGGGGAGGAAGGGAUCCAGGAGGAGAGGGAGGGAGCCGUGGAGGAGAUGGAGGGUGCCAUGGAGGAUUGAUGUCGAGGAGAGGGGCGCCGAGCAUAGUGAUCGAAAACGCCACCAGAGAACAACACGCGCGGGAAAGAAAGAGGGGAAGCGCGCCUGGGAAUUUUCUCCCGCGCUUUUCCCACUAGGUGAUGGGGGCCGGGACUAGAGCCCCCAGGAUUGGGGGCUUGGGGAGAUGAUUUGGGUGCCUUUCUAUUUUGGGGCUUUAGUAGGAGCCCUGUUGGAUCUUAGUUUUUGGCCUCAACUUUCAAAAAUUGUUUAAGGGCUGUGUUUGGAGGCCCUAUUGGAGAUGAUUUGAUCAUGCACACCGGUGCCACCUCGCACGGUAUAAUCUUUUCCUCCCGACCUCCCUCAUCUCCGAUGUCUGUCACCAUCGGUAGCAGUUCCUUUGAUCCCAGUUUCUUGCAUUGGCAACACCACCCUCUCUACUUCUCACUGUUCACAUAUCAGACUACAAAUGAAGGGUUUUCGAGUAAAAAAAAAGAACGGUUAAACAAUUUUAGCUCAGCAGGCAAAUGAAUUAACUGUGUUGUCAUUUUAAAUGAGUGUAAUCAUAAGCAUGCAUACUACGUUUUUUCAUGUACCAAAAGCAUGCAUGUGUUGAAUAGCAUGAUGCCAGGAUAUGGAUGCAUGAUACAACGUUUUCUCUUGACCUGCAUAGGUGUGUGUGUCUAUAUAUAUAUAUAUAUAUAUAUAUAUAUAUAUAUAUAUAUAUAUGUAUGUAUGUAUGUAUGUAUGUAUGUACCUAUAUGUUUCCUUGAAUAAGCAGUUGCUAGUGAAGCUUAACAAAAAGUGUAACAGCUUUCGCAUGUAUUCCUUGAGAUGUUAGAGAAAACCAAAUAAAUUGCGGUGAUGCUCUCAUUAGCAUGUGUGUUAAAAUGUCAAUUUGUGAGUAAAGCCUUCCUGAUCAAGUUGUAAAUACUAUGAAGCAUCAUUUUGAUUGGAUUCUGGAAACAGAAGAGGAGAUCUGGGACAUCCUUUAUAUAGGCUUGGGAGGAAGAGAUUGGAUCAGAUUCGAGAGGAAACGACGACGGAAGAAUCGGAUUCGAGAGAAAACUACAACGGAAAUUAGGGUUUAUCCCGAGUUCAUCGGAUCUCGAAUCCUACAACGGGGUUUAUCCCGAGUUCAUCGGAAUAAGAACUGAGACGAAAUUCAUGGGAUUAAGCACGAAUUUGAUGGAUAUUUCGUGGGGACAAGGUAGAGGAGGUUGAUAGGAUUCCGUUCCCGCAAUCAAUUUGAGAAAAGGAGCAGGCCGGAUUUGAUGGAGGUGGUGGCGGCUCUGCAGAGUGGGGCGUCAGGGAGAAGGGAGGAAGAGGGAGGCAAAGCUACGGGCUGAGGAAAGAAAAGAGAACAAGGAGUAACCGGAUUCGGCUUUAAGUAGGAAGAUAAUUUUUAUUAACUUUUUAAUCUAAAUAAUUGCUGAGAUGAUAUUUCAUUUAUUAAAAAUAAUUCUAAGGCUCAAGUAAAUCAAACAUAAAUCCUGAAAAUACUUAGGCAUACAAAAUAUUUAAUGAUAAUUUUAUCUAGCUCAUGUUUAUGUUCAAAUUUUUCAUAGAUUUUAUUCACACACUUACUUAAAUCAUUAAAUAAUUUCUAAAAAAAAUCCCCUUUUCACAACAAUUUAUAAUUUAGCGAUUUUUAGGGUGUGACAGAUACUAUUUUCUCUACUUUUGGUUAGAUGAUUAAUUACAAUGCAAGUACAUACUAUGUGAUAUGCACCACUGAGUCAUGCUGACUUUUCACGUAAACAAAAUACACAUCUUCUUUUGAUUGCAAAUAUGCAAAUAUGCAAAUAUUUUUGCUAUUAGAAUGCUGCAUGAUUUUUUUUUACAAUGGGAGCAAGGACAUAAUCACAUAACCAUACAUGUCGACGUCAGAAUUUGAAAGCACGCGUACAGUGCACUAUGCUCUUCUAAAAGGCAUGGUGCGUAAGGUUAAAUAAAUAUUGGUCAUUGAACAUGAAAAAGAAAUUUAAAAACACUAAAUUCUCACUUCCAAAUAAAUAAGCAACUGGUUGGCUGGAUACCUUAGAGCUAGAAAUAGAAUUGAGGUAGACUACAGUUGUUUGGGCAAAGACAUGAUGUUCACACUUCAGACUAAAAAUGAAGGGUUUUCGAGUAAAAAAAAAGAAGGGUUAAACAAUUUUAGCUCAGCAAGUAAAUAACUUAACUGUAUUGUCAUUUUAAAAGAGUAUAAUCAUUAUCAUACAUACUACUUUUUUCAUGUACCAGAAGCAUGCAUGUGUUGAAUAGCAUGAUACCAGGAUAUGGAUGCGUGAUACAACGUUUUCUCUUGACCUGCAUGGGUAUAUAUAUAUCCAUGUACCUAGAUGUUUCCUUGCAUAAGCACUUGCUUAACAAAAAGUGUAACAGCUUCGCAUGUAUUCCUUGAGAUGUUGGAGAAAAGCAAAUAAAUUGCGGUGAUGCUCUCAUUAACAUGUGUGCUAAAAUGUCAAUUUGUGAGUAAAGUCUUCCUGAUCAAGUUGUAAAUAUUAUGAAGCAUCAUUUUGAUCGUAGUCUGUACACAUAUUCCUAGAUAUAGGUUGAAUUCAUGAGGACUAAGCUAGCAUCACGUCAAGACGGCCGAGUUUUGUACACACGUUCAUAGAUAUAGGUGAAAUUCAUGAGAAGUUAGCUAGCAUCACGUCAAAACGACCUAGUUUUGUUUAGCUAAACAGUAUUUACCAAACACCACUGUCUUCUUUGUAUGAAAUAGAAUAUUAUUUUGUAUGGUUUGCUAUGUUUCAUCCAUUUAAAUUAAAUUUUCAUUAUAUAUGGGACAAAAUGAAGAUAAUUUUAACAUGUGCAGUAAUUAACAAUGAGCAUGUGUCCCUAUUUGGUACUGAACCAAAAUAUGUCAUUGCUAGGGCAGCAUGCACUAUUACUACAUGGAGCCAUUUAAUAUUAAUAAGAUACAGUGGUCCUACAAAUUAACUGUUUUAAAUUCCAUAAGUGUUUCAGUAAUAUUUGUUUCUUAAUUGAAUAAUAAUCUUCAACGUAAAAUGGUUAUAUAUGCUGAAACAAAUUAAUCUCCAAUUCAAAUAUUUAUGAAAUUGUAUUUUUCUAACUGGAAUAUGUAUAAAAAAUUGUGUCAGUUAUUUUGAAGUUAUUCUAAUCUAAUACACACUAAAAAUUGCAGCUAUUGAUCAACUAAUGGAAUUAGAUUCAUUUUAUCAUGCAUAUUGGAUUGAGAUGAGAAUCAUAAUAGUCAAAUGGAACAGUACAUAUGUAAUAUAUUUGAGUCACAAGGUAGGUUGCAUUGGUUUGCAGAAAACCUAUUUGGUCGCGGCACAGUUCCUAGUGAGAGUGCAUAUUUUUUCGAAUAUAUAUUUUUUGGCUUACAAAUAUAUAACUGUUCGUUAUUAUGAAUCAUUACAGGUUAAAAAAUCACUCCCGAUCAUCACUAAAAGAUUUAUUAAACGGUUAUACUCCAGCCAUUAAUUCCAAAAUAUGACUUAUUCAUAUUCAUAGCUAAAGGUAGCUAUAUUUUAGGUUGCAAGAAAUGAUUAGUCUAUCUAGUCAUUAACCUUAUGUCUCCAACGAUGGUUUAACUGUUCGAGAUUACUGUACUUAAUUAAUUGACCGUUAGAGAUUGGCAUUUGUAUGGUAUUGCUCGAUCCUCUCGUAAGACAUUUGACUAGAUGUGUUCUCAUGAUCAAUCCUACAAGUACGGAAAUUUGGUUUGAAAUGAUCGAGCGUAUGCUUUCUACCCUAUGCCCAUCUCUGGUUCUGUCUCUUAGCUGAUAUAUAAAGUGGAAUCUAAACUAAACAAAAGUACAAAACUGGUAAGGGAGUCGAUUACAUGGUGAUUGCAAUCAUACCAUCGGGGUGCCCUAAAAUUUUUACACUGGUAAUUGGUGUUGGUAUUGCAAUCAAUUAUCAAUUUCGUUACGUAGAACAGGAAAUAGAGAUUGGAAUUGGUAUUGCAGAUAAUUGUGCUUAUCAAAAAGGUUGUCACUGGAUUUUUUUUAGUUACUAGCUAAAGGCCAUGCGUUGUAAUGGAUAUUAUAAGAGAUAAAAAAACAAAAGUAAAGGGAAAAAAUACAAGUUUAGUAGUGGAUAUUAAAAGAGAUAAAAAAAACAAAAGUAAAGGGAAAAAAGUACAAGUUUAUAGCAUAGGGAGAUGAUUAGGCAUAUGAUGCCGCAUCAUAUCCAAAGCAAAAGCAUGUACAUGUGGGGACGUUAUGGCGCCACAUGUCAGCUUGUGACGUUGGAGGUAGGCUCGAACGCCACCACUAGCAUUAUUUAAGGUAAUAUAGAUACACCUAGCUUUUAUCAUUCAUUGAGUUCAACAAACUUUAUGUAUAUUUAAAGAAACAAAUAUAUCUAGAGACAUAAACACUAGUACUACAGAUUUGGACAUCUAUGAUGGGUCAUCUGAGAUGGGCCGAAAAGUAUCCCAUUUAAAAUAUGGCUACUGGGGAGGGCCUGUCAUAGAUGCGACGUCAUCUGUGAUGGGAUAGUUGUAACCCAUUACAGAUGAUCUAUGACGGGUCACAACCAAGGCUCGUCAUAGGACAUGCCAUCUGUGACGGGUGUAGUGUUAUGAACCAUCGUAGAUGAGAUCACUCAUCUCUGAUGGGUCUUAAUUGCCUUAUGUACUGGUGGUAGUUACGAUCAGUCAUUUCCAAACAAAAUCCCGGAUAGAGAUAUGCCUUAUAUAUAAGUUGUAGUUCUGGAUGAUAUCUACAACUUUAUAACUAAAUGUUUUUAUUAGAGAUCGUUUACAUCCCCAAAUAUGUAUUACAGUGAUGAGAUCUAUUUUGAAGAACAAUAUUUCAAAAAUUUCAAAUUACCUCGGAUGGAAAAUGCCCCAUAUCAAAGUCAUAGAGCUCAACCAGAUGUACACCAUUAUAAUUGACGAUAUUUUCAUUUAAAUAGUUUGCAUGCCCGAAUAUUGAUUAUAAGUUGAGAUCUAUCCUAAAAACGAAAAUUUGAAUUCUUCAAACGAUUUCAGACGAUGAUAUUCCCUAUGUAAAAGUUUUAGAACACAAUGAAAUCUCAAAUGUUUUAGUUGGUUACAUUUCCAUUUGAAGUCAUUUAGAGUGUUAAAUGUAUGUUACAUACUUCAUAUAGGAAUAAUUAAAAGAAUAAUAUUGAAAAAGUAAAUCACAUGUGCUCUACAAGUGGGUUGGUAAGUGAGGUUUGUGUAGAGAGGGAGAUCCUGAGUUCCAAACUUGACACAUAUAUGCUUGUCUAUAUUGUUAGCAACACAUUUUUUUUUCUAAUUUUACAAAAUUAGAACCGUGCCACUACUGUCAUUUUUCCACCCAUCUCCUUGAUUUUCCAUCUUCUUCCUUCUUACUCUCAUCCUCUUCUCUCCCCUCCAGAUCGCCGGCGAAGAGAGCAAACCAAGAAAACCAGAUCACCGGCUAAUACCGCCUCGAUUUCACCGUGACCCAGCAUCGCUCCCCAUUGCGGAGCUUGGAGGAGGAGGGCGCCACAUCGUCGGGCCGGCGCAACAAUAGCAGGAGGGCCCUCAUCGUGCGUGGCACUGCGGAUGAUGCGUGCAAUGUGGCCUAGGGAGGAGAUGUAUGCAAUACUUCUUUGCCUGGAGCAUCCAGGGUCGAUGUGAUGGCGACGACCAUGUUGCUGUGCGGUGGCAGUGUAGGUUGCGGCGUCCCCGGCGCGGGGCGCCGCCAAUUUCUUCGAUUUUCUUUUUUCUUCAUUUUUUCUUUCUCUUUUCUUCGAUUUCUUCUUUCCUUUUUCUGUGGCUUCGCACAGUCGGCGGCGUGAUGCGGACGAAGCCGGGUGACGGUGGCGUGGCCCAACGAGGGCACGGCAAGGUCGGGCGGCAGCGGCGCGACCUUGCGGUGGCUGGCGAGGUGCGGAUGGCGGUAGGGCAUGGCCGCGCGAAGGUGACAUGGCCCUGCGGUGGCCGGUGAGGGGCGGCGCAGCAAGCCGAGGACGGCUCGCCGCAGCAGCCCGAGGCCGACGCGGCGUGGCUUGGCGGUCGGGCGCCCCCGCAGUUGGCCGCGAGGCAACCAUGCUGGCGCGAUGCGGAUGGCCGGCACCGGCGCCCCAGGCGUUCAACGACGCGAUGGUAGGCGGCGCGGCAGCCAAGCUCAUGUGUGGCGUAGGCGACCGACGUUGCCUCUCCUACUUUUCCCCUUUUCAUUUUUUUGUUCUUUUUCUUCGACCAGAUAAAAACCAGAUGAAGACGGGAGAAAGAAGGAAGAGAUGGAAAAAGAAGGAGAUUGAUGGAAAAGAUGACGGCAGUGGCAUGGUUCUAAAUUUGCAAAAUUCCAGUGGCACAGCUACGAAUAGAAGAAUUGUAAUGACAUUUUUCUGAAUAGUCAAAUUUGCAAUGGCAUAGAUCCAAUUAACCCUAUUUGUAUUUUGGUUGAUUUUUUCUUUUAAUUGUUCCUAGUGCUAUUGUUAACAAAUUAAUAUUUUUAUUUUGGAUGUUUUUUCUUUCAGUUGUUCCUAGUGCUAUUGUGGACAAAUUAAUAUGUGAAAGUAAGUGGCUUGGCUAGGUGUUUAUUUUGGAUAUUUUUUCUUUCAGUUGUUCCUAGUGCUACUGUGAAUAAAUUAAUAUGUGAAUGUGGCACGGCUAGGUGUUUAUUUUGGAUGUUUUAUCUUUCAGUUGUUCGUAGUGCUAUUGUGAACAAAUUAAUAUGGCUAGGCAUGCUACGUUAGUGUUGACGGAAAACACGGUUGCCUACGAGAUUUGCUUCACUCCAGUGCAGGUUCAAAGCGUGUCUCAAAUGUCAAGAGCGUGCCAGCUGGUUUGAUCUUGCAACCAGCAAGAAAGACAAAACAAACGUAACGUAAUUAGAUGAACGAUAACCGAUCGGCCGAUAGGGCUGAUGACGUAUCAUUAGGACCUACCCAAUAUGGGUAAACCUAAUCGGCUGUGUCUUUAGGAUAGUCAGUUAAAGUAAAAACCCUAAAUAUGCCCUAUCUGUUGUAAUGCCGUCUCUAAAGUAUUUAUGAAUCACUUUAAGACAAUAUUAUAGAAAUAGCUAUCAGGGUUAUGGAUGCCACAUACCCGAUAGUAAUCGACUAAGCUCGGCAGGGCCCACCACAUACUGUCAGGGUUAUGGAUACCACAUAAUAGUAGUUGACUAAAUCUCGGCAGGACCCACCACAUACCAUGUCUUAUACGGAAACAACCUUCGGAUAUAGGAGGAGUUCCGCAUAAGGAAGGAUGAAUAGAGUUCUACAUGGAAACGACAAGGACUACUCGUAUUGUAUCCAUAUUGGUCUCUCUAGUUCUACUUGGACAAGGAGACACCUAUAGGUAUAAAUACAAGACCCCCUAGGAGGAGAAGGGAGACGGAACAAUAGAUCAAGACACAAUAUCAACAUACAAGCCAACACACGCCAAGACAAGCCGCUGGAUAUCGACAUCAGAGAUAUGCCUGGGCCAACCCUAUCCGGUACCUACAGAUGCCGGCUGUAGGGAUCUAGCGUUGUCUCUGAUCUCGCCGGGCACAAACUCGAGGAGGAAGACUACCCUGUUGUCGACUACGGGAUGGUUUCACGGCCGCCCUGUCGACAACAGUUAGAUAGGCUACCCCAAAUAUUGUACUGGUGUGAUUAUGGUGAAUAAGAGCAACUACCGGCUUCGGCCAACAGGAGUAAGGUUAUUACCUGACAAUUCAGGGGCCCGAACCUGUAUAAAAAUCCUCGUCUUCGUCUCUUUUACCUAAGUCUCGCAUAUAUCCUAGUACCAACGAUCCCUAUACUAUGCAAAUACCGGAAUCGCAACAUCAAACAUCGACAAUAGCCGAUGGAUCAGUACUUACAGCAAAAGUAGAUAAUGUACUGGCUAAUACUCUAAUACAGACUUAUAUGAACAAAUCAAUCUAUAUAAAUAUAUUAGAUAGCAAUCGAUCACCAUAUAUGAAGUUUAAGCAAGAUCAAUCUAACUUGAUGUACUUAUAUAAAGCAAUCUAUCUAUAUAAGUGGCAAAUAUAUACGUAAACAGAUCAUGAAACAUGUACUAUCGUUUAUAUUAGGAAAGAUCAGCCGAAACCCCAAUACUAUCCUUAAUUAUGAUUAAUUCCAGGUUAGUUUUUAGAUUCUAAGCACGACUAAGGUUGAUGCAUAAGUAUGCAAAGAAGCAUAAAGUCUAAACAAUCAAGUAAUUAACCACUUUUUAGGAUGGUGGGUAUCUUAGCUAAUCUAAUCUAGUAAAGUAAUUUAGUCGAUACCGGCAUAAACUCUAAAGUGAGAAUCAGCCGAUAUGACUAAAUUGAAAUACUAAGACUAGAUUAACUAAGAUAUAUGAUAGCAAUGGUCACGAUAAAAGAACUAAUACUUCUAAAGUGACAUAAUAGCCCCGAUAGCGCAGGUCGUUACCUCUUGUCGAGAGAUCGCAGCCGAUGCCCCGACUGGAAGCAAAAACUUGUCGAAAAGUAAAGGAAAGGGUGGCGAUGCGUCGAAAGUUGUAUUGAUUGGAUUGUCUCCCUUAUUACAAUGGUUUGGGGUUUAUAUUUAUAUCCUGAGUACAAAACUUGUCCAUUAUGGGCACGAUUCAAACUUUCCUAAAGAUAAAAUACUAACAAGUCCUCACAGCGGACUCUUACCAAAUCUCUAACUCAAAACUGACAUAAAUAUCCUAAUUAAUAGAUACAAUUACCUUAAACGAGCUCUGUCUCUAAACGGCAAUGACAGAUAUCUAAAUCAAGGCCCAUACCGAGUCUACGUCAGGCUAUAUCGACUGCUUGCCAUAUCAGCUCAAUCAGACUUCGACUCUGUUUCCCGCCGAUGCGCAAUCCGUAUUUGGCAAGAUUCAAUAUUCUUCGAUUCCUCUUUGAUAUCCAACUCUAAAUCCGAGUCUAUCUUGCCAAAUUUCACUGCCAACAGUUAUACACAAUUUCAUUCAGAUGAAGAAAAUGGAGAACAUAUAAAUGCCAUACCUAAUCUAUAAUAGCUUUUCCAGCUUUCCUGGUAUCAGUGUACACCUAUGAUUCUUUGGCCUCUUUCGCUUUAACAUAAAUGAUUACCCAAAUAGACCAACCAUCUACCAAAGUAUGUUGACAAGAUGGCAACUCAAUCAUAACCGUAUAGAUCCAUAAAAAUUUUUGAUUAUCUAUCAAAUAAUGCAAAGGUGAACUAUUGGCUUGGGUGGUUUCCCAUUGAGACUUGAACAGGUGUUGAGGCGAAUUUCGCAUAAACACACGAAGGCCUAAGAGAUUUGUUUAGCUCUAGUGCAUGUUUUAAAAUUGGGUUUAGAGCAAUGCAAUUAGUUUGAUCCUGCAACUAAUAACAAGAUAGAAAUAAAAGAUAGAUCAUGGAGUCGAUUAGCUAUAGGGCCAAUAUAGUACCUCUGCCUAGUUGUAGACGAUGAAAUUUCGGAUCAACGGCUAUAACCGAUGGAAUAUUAAUAAACAUAAGAAAAAAUAUAUUAGCCAAAACUUGACAUUAUAAUUUCCAAUGAUUUGUCUUUAGUAAAGUCAAUCUUGAUAAAGCCGAUGCAUUGAAAUAACUGUCAAUAACUUCAAUAAACAAUUUAAUGAAUCAUCAUAAGUCGCUAUCAAAUAAAAGACAAUCGUUAGGAAUAUUUCCUUAUCAAUCAUAAUCUUGAUAGGUUGGACAUAACCGAGGCAAUAUAAGAUUAAAAAUAAUAAAGAUAAUCGCUAAUUGAUUGUAUUAGAUUUGAUAACUAACCGAUGGAGUAGAUUGAUUAUUGAUAAAAGGAUAAUUUACCAAUAAAACAACGAAUAAUAUCUAUCGAUUUGAGCAAAUCUGUCUUAAUAAAAUAUGACCUGAUAAAUUGGACAUAACCGAGAUAGUAUAAAGUCAAUAUUGAACCUGAUAGAUUUAAACAAGCCAAUAGAUACUGAAGAAGGUGAUUGAUAUAUUGAUUCUAACUAAGACAGCAAAUCCAUUGAAGAAAGAACCGAUAUAUCUGAUAGGCGACGUGUGCACAGACCAAAUUAGUAUAUUGGACUUAAGAAAGUAUUAGCCGGACCGAUACAAUCAUACAAGCAAAAUAGAUGAAACUUACUUUUUUGCCAAAGAUCGAAACAGAUGCAGCCCAAACACGAAAAUAGGGUGGCGAUGCACCGAAACUUGUAUAUUUACAAAACCCAAGGCAAACAUAUUUAUACCCUCAGAUUAGAAAAGAGUCCAACUCAAACACGACUCGAUCGGCUAAAAGGAAACUGAGUGCAAUUUACAUACGACACAAUUGGUUUAGAAUUCUAUCUGUAGAAGGAAAUUAAAACAUUCCUUAAUACAGAAGUUGAUAUAAAAUCUGCGAAACUAUAUCUGAUACGCUUCCCAACCGAAUCCACUACAAUCAUGGCGUCAAUUUCGCCUUUGACUUGAUCUUGACUAACGACAAUUACCAAUUCUACCGUCAACAAGUAGUAGGAGCAAUUGGCAUAUUCGGCUAACUGCAAAUGCCAUGCAUUGCGGCGAUUAUAACAACACAGUGCAUCCUACAUUGAUUUCCCCUAAUAUCAAAUGAUAGAACUUACGAGCGAAGCAAGAUAGGAAAAUAGUGUAGCUCUAGGCUCCAAGCCAUCCAUCUACUUCUUGAUAAUAUUAAACUUGUCUACAUUAAAAGUUUGUUGCUAUAUAGUGCCCAUCAACGCAAACGGUAGUUAGAAAUGAGAAAUGUAUGAUUGUAACUUCUAUGCAUAUGCAAGUCCAAAUGCGUAUGAUAUGCAUGCAUUUGUCCUUUCCAAGAACAACUGCAUACUCAUGCCUUCACAGAUAUCUGCUGAACAUUAGUUGCUUGUAAUUUUACCUUAUCUGUUGCUCACUUGCAAUUGAUUUUACUCUGUAACUUGGAAGUAUAUUACUUCCUCCGUUUCAUAAUAUAAGUCAUUUUAGCAUUAUCCACAUUCAUAUAGAUGUUAAUGAAUCUAGACAUAUGCUAUAUCUAGAUUCAUUAACAUCGCUAUGUCUAGAUUCAUUAACAUCUAUAUGAAUGUGGACAAUACUAGAAUGACUUACAUUGUGAAACGGAGGAAGUAAUAUCUACUCCCUCCAUUUAAGGUUAUAAGAUGUUUUAACUUUGAUCAAAGUCAAACUAUUUCAAGUUUGACUAAGUUUAUAGACAAAUAUAGUAAUAUUUAUAAUACUAAAUUAGUUUCAUCAAAUCAAUAAUUGAAUAUAUUUUCAUAAUAAAUUUGUUUUGGGUUGAAAAUGUUACUACUUUUUUCUAUAAACUUAGUCAAACUUAAAGCAGUUUGACUUUGACCAAAGUCAAAACGUCUUAUAACCUGAAACGGAGGACGUAGCAAACAACUUAGCUUAUCUCUUAACAGCACUGCAGCGGCAAAACAACUUUCAAAAUUUUCAGCAAUUCAGAACAGAACCUAAACCAGCAAAUAACCAGACCAAUCAUCAGUGCAGUACUUCAUGCCCACGUUAAAUCUCCUGCGCACGUAAAACGGAGCGGUUUAUUAGCACGUUAUUAAUUAAGUAUUAACUAAUUGUUUUUAAAAAUUGGAUUAAUAUGAUUUUUUAAAGCAACUUUCGUAUAGAAUAUUUUUUUCAAAGAACGCACUGUUUAACCGUCUGAAAAAGGAGAGAGGUGAAUUGGGAAAGUUAGGGAAAGAACUCAGCCUUAAUAGCAGCAUCUCACAUGAAGGAAAUAUUACGCACCAAAGUACAUUGACUCACAAACACACCGCACACGCCUGCAAUCCGUAACACUAGUCUUCCACUUCCACCGGGUGCUGGACAACACGAUCUGAAGAAGUGAUUCCAACGAGAAGCAAGAGCGUACCCAGAUGGAUAAUUGGAUACCCGGUCAAUGCCAUUUCUGCGAUUUCAUCUCAAUUAAACAAUUCCCACAUUGUUUUCUUUGGUGAGGCCUAUUCCCACUAGUGAGAACCCAUCUCGGUUUGCAAUCCCUUUAGUCCUGGGUUGCAAAUCGGGAUGUCUAAUUCGGGACUGAAGAUACCCAUCUUUAUAACUGGGACUAAAGAUCUAUUUUUAGUACCAGCCAGGACUAAAGGUAUUUUUUAAUUGUUUUUUGUUGCUUGCAUAUUGCCCAAAUCCGCACAUCAAAUUGACAUCACAGAUAAAAUGCGGAAUGCCUGCCUCCUCCCGCACGCCACCAACAACCACCGCCCGCCGCCCACUGCUGACGCCACCGACGGAGAAGGGGGGGGAGGAGAGGAGAGGGGAGGGUGCUGCCGCCGCUUGCCACCCGCUGCCGCCUGCCGCUGCCCACUGCCGACGCCGCCGACGAUGGAGAGGGGAAGGGGAGGAAAGCGAGGAGAGGGGAGGGGAGGGGGGAGGAGUGGAAGAGCCGUGAAGUGGAUAAGUGGAGGAGGCGUGCGGCUGCGUGAGGAAAUAAGGACGACGAGGAAAUAGUUAAAAAAUAAGUUGAGGAGAUAAGGACGGGUGGGGAGGCGUGCGGCUCAGUGCGCUGUUCCGGAUUUUUUCAACUUUUGACCCAGUUGGUAUAAACAAUAGGGACUAAAUAUUGACACCAACCGGGACUAAAGAUAGUGGGGGUGUGACAUUCGCCUAACGACUUUUUAAACUGAGACUUAAAAUGUACCAACUGGGACUAAAGAUUAUAAAGUGUUAUUAGGUUUUGAACUGGGGCUACAGAUCUUAUUUAUUCCCGGUUCCUAUUCAAACCGGGACAAAUGUGAUUUUUGCCAUCCGGAUAAAGAUCUGUUCUCCAGUACUGUUCACACUCAAAAAUUUCAAAAUGCUGAAAACUCAAUGUACAUAUGCAAAAUUUGCUCAAAUACUCCACUAAAACUAGCAUUUUAGUUUAAAAAUUACAAAAAUACAACACAAAUAGUCUAAUGGGUCAUGCCUAUAGAGUGAGUCUGGCUCGAAUUUAAGUAGGGAGGUCAUUUUGGGUCAAAAUUAAGGGUGAUCCAGGACCUGUAUCAGGGGCGGAGCUUGAUUAGGGGGUGCCCAGGAACCCGGUCAAGAAAAUUUUUUAGCUAUACCUCAUCUAUUUUCACCAUGUACGCACCCCCCUCAAUACAAACUUAGGCAUCCGCAUCAGCUUAAAGUCGAUUUAAAGUAGAGUAAAUUAAGCAAGUGACACCAUCCUCCAUUUCGCUCUAGCUCCGCCCCCGUAUCACUCCUGAACCCCCCAUGCUAUCUCUGUUCAUCCCUACACGACGCCAGUGCACCACCAGCAUCCCACCCCACACACGUCCUCACGCCGUUGGACUUCUUUAACCGAUGUCGAGGGCUAGCGUGACAUCGAGCCUGUGCUCCUCGCUUCCACCCACGGUCAUGGAUCGAGCUCAAGGGCAAGGAGGCAGAGCGAGGAGAGCGAGCUCGUCUUGGUGCUUCGACAACGACCAUCCUGGCGACAUGCUGGUUGGGGACGACCACUGGAUGCCCUGCUCAUGUCUCUUGAUCUCUGUUUGUGCAGCACGAAGGGGCGUCGAAGGAGGCCUGACGGACAAGGCCGUCGGCGAUGCAGAGGUUGGAGGAAUUGUUCUCCGCUUCUUCUUGUGAUUCAAACCAUGGGGCUAAGGGGAAUUUCAUCCAUUGAAGUGGUAAAAGAGGCAAAAUCAAGCCAAUGAAUUAAAAAAGGGACGGGUUCGUUUGAAAGAUCGUUCAGCUUUAGCAUUUUUGCUGCGCGAAACAAAAAAAAAUACCAGUAUUAACUAUUAUAAACUUUUUUAUAAGAAAAAAAACUAUAUAAAAAAUGUUUUAUAAAAACAUAUUAUUUACCAGUUUGAAAACAUAGUAACAAUAAACAAGGAAAGGAAGAAGGGCAACUGUUUAUUACUACUUCCGUCCCAAAAUAUAAGAAUUUUUAAAAUUGGACAUAAUUAUUAAGAAAAUAGGUAGAAUUAAAUGGAGGAGAGAUUGUGUUUAGUUAAGAAGUGAAGGUAGACGAGAAAAGUGAAUGAUAGAGUUGUGAUUAGUUUGGAAGAGGAUGUUAGGAAGAAGUCGUUAUAUUUUUAGACAAGUUCUGAGUGAUAGAAGUUAUUAUAUUUUAUGAUGAAUGAAGUAUGAGAUGUAGUAGAGACAUUGCAGGUUUACGUUUCAGUGGAAGCUAGCCCCUGUUGGCAAAAUACUUCGACUUGUUUGACAACUCGAGCGAAGAGGAUUGGAAGUUUACAUGAGGAGAUUGAUGGUGAGAUUAAGAUGUGAAUUUGAUUUUUAAUCCCAAUAUCUUGUUUAGUAGAUAUGGUGAAAAUUGAUAGGGAGUUUAAUUUGAGAUUAUGUCAUUAAUGAAAAAUGGAUGCUUGGGAUUUAUUUAGGCAGAGUAAAGGAUGAAUUCCCUCUUAAUUACCACCUCUAUUCAGGUAUUGAAAAGGAGGGAGUCUACAGAGUGGCGGAUCUAGGAACUUUUAUGAGUCUGGACAAGCCUAACGAUAGAGAAGGACAAUUAACUCCAUACAACCACGUGCAUGAUUUAGGAUAGAUCAAGUUCUAAUUUAUUUUUUUUUGAAGAGAAUCGACUUCUAAUUUAUGAAGAAGAGAAGCGAUGCGCAAAAUUAUAUCGAUGAAAUGUAACUCGUUAAUUGUUAAUGUUGAAUAACUAGACAGUUAUAUAUAUAGUUAGUCAUUUUGCUACUUUAUGUGCUGAUUAACUGAUCUGACAUUCAUUAGAACUAGUUAAUUAAACACGUAAUUUGCUACGGGUAGUAUUUUACUCAAUUGUAUGCGACAGGCUAACCGAGACUGGCUCUGCCGCUGGAGAAAAUUGAUGGUGAGAUUAAGAAGAGAAUUUAAUUUUUAAUUCUAAUAUCUUGUCUACUAGAGGUGGUGAAAAUUGAAUGGGAGUUUAAUUUGAGAUUAGAUUAUUAAUGAAAAAAUAUUAUUGAGAUUUAUUUGGACAAAAUAAAGGAUGAAUUAUCUCCUAAUUACCACCCCUUCUCAAUUCUCCAUCCUCAUUCCCCGCGGCAGCGGCAGGCUCAAUGCCUUCUCGCAUCGAUUCUUGAUCCCAAGGAGAUGGUCAAGGGGAGAAGCGGCGCUUCUCGAUUCGACGGCGACGACCUUGGAGGAGGGAGGAACGGCGGCGCUUCUUGAUCCAACGGCGACAAGGCAUGGGGGGAGCAGGCGCAGGAGGGUUACCUCUUGUCGAUCUUGGCCUGACGCUGACGGCGGCCAUGGGUAGAGCCGUAGAGGUGGCCUCCUGCCCGCCGGACGCUGUGCUCCUUCUCCCCCGCAUCGAACAGUGAACUGUGAGGUGUCCUUGUUGCCUGGAAUACUUUGGCUAUUUCUUAUUCCCUUGGUUCCAACCAAGAAUUUGAUUCACUUUUUUUUUUUUGUGCUGCUCUCGGUUCGAUUUGCAGGCACAAAUGUGAGCAUCAGACUGGAUGGCCAACAUUUAGGGUGACUCCACUCCAGAGCGCUGCUUGAUCCAUCUUCUGCUUUCAUUGUUACUAUUUCUUUGCUUCCAAACCACAUAUGCAUUCAGGGUGACUGACCGAAUCCAAUGCCAUUGAUUUCUUUUGUCCUCUGUCCACCAAUCUUCGAAAUUUUGUCUGGCUAGCAGGGAAAGCGAGCAGGCAGGUUCAGUGGUCAGUGCAGAGAGAGCAACCCUGCAGCUAUUGAUUCAGUGCAGAGAGAACCCAGCACCAGUUCGCGAAAAAAAGAACCCAGCACCAAAGCUGCAAUGAUUCAGCAGCUGCAGCUGUUGAUUCAAUGCAGAGAGAAUCCAUCACCACAUCUGAUCGCAGAAGAUGCAGAUGCGGUUCUGCAGACGAUCAGCCGCCAGCAAAACAAACGCCAGCGAAGGACCAGCCACAUCAAGUUCAACGAUCUCCAAAUUGACAUGCAACACAACAAAAGCUGAUUAGACCAUGGGAGAGGUGCAAACUGGUGUGCAACAACAAAACCUUAUUCGACCAUUGAACAGGUGCUCGUGUGCGGAGCGUGCGCUGAAUUCUCCUGAAGUGAAGGCUACCAGCGCCGUAUUGGCACAUCAGGGAUAUCAACUUCUACAACAAAAACUGCUCAUUAGUUCCCAGAUGCAGGGGUAUUCCAAAAUGGCCUCUUAAUUUGAUCCAUCUUAUGUCCAGUGGUGCCUCAGCUACCAUUCUUUGGGAAUGGAUCUUGUUAGGCACCAAAAACUCCAAUGGGGAGGCACCACUUUUUGUAAGCAAAAUGUUAAUAUAUUGUCCAACUAGUAAUAACUAUAAUGAUAACCCCAUGAUACCAUGCUAUGGACAACUUCAUUUCAAAAGGUAAGAGUAUGGAAUAAAGCUGAGUGGUGAGUUAAGUAUAUGGACUGAAUGGGACAGCUAUUAGUGGCCCCUUUUCUUUUUUAUUUUAAUUUUCUUUUUUGUCCUUUUGGCACAACAAUGGAACAUCCUGGGUACCUUUUAGUAAUUUCCCAGAAGGUUAGCUGAGCACUUGUGCGUGGAUGCAGCGUAUGGCCCCAAAAGUGAGUUGAGCCCCUUCUUCUACAUAAGGAAAGAACUAACUGAAAUUUGGGGCUGUACUCUUCUAAAUUUCAGUUAGCGCUCUUCGUUUAAUUUUUGGGAGACGAAAUUUGUACUCUAUCUGGAACUAGCGCAUCUGCACUCUCUUUCCUGUGAUCCUAUCUAAUCUCUAUUCAUAUUGAUCUAACAUUUUUUUGAACAAACAUGUGAUUGCUUUGCUCAUAAAAGACAUCAAGAAGAGCAAGAUCAAGAAGAGGAGCUAGCUAGGUAGUCUGAUCAUUGGGUAGAAAGAUUUGUGAAACAAAUUAAGGACCCAGGUACGUGAUCCAAUUAUUUCCCUUCUUUACUCCAGCUUGGUAUGUUUGGAGUAUCAGAUAUACUACAAUUGUCAGCAGAAACUGUUAUUUUCCAAUUGUAGACAAAGUCUGCAUGUUGCAAUUUCUUGUGUUCUUGGUCGAUUUUAUACUGUACUAGUAAGCUUAGAACAAAAUUUCAAACUGUGCUUGCUGUCUUACAUGUUUCUUUCACUACGACUAGUCGAACUUCCAGAGAAAUUAUGUGCCUAUUUGAGAUAUAGUUGUAUGAAAUACAAUUAUACAUUUAGAUGUCCAGGCAGACUGCAUGUUGUAGCCUUUUGUGUUGCUCUUCAGUUUUGUACUAGACAAGUAAUGUUAGAACAAGAUUUCAAAAUUGUGUGUUUUGUCUUGCAUGUUGCUUUAACCAAAACUAGUCGAAUUUCCUGAGAAAUCAUGUGCCUUCAACCACUAGAUACAGUAGACCCGGCAUAAUUUGCUAGACUUUAAAAGCAAAUUGUUUUUUGAAUGGUAGAUAGAUAGGUGUUAGGUUUGCCUUCAACCACUAGAUACAGUAAAUCUAGCUUUUCCAUGAUGCAUCUCUGGAACUCUUAACAGUUUAGCACUUAUGAUCAUGCAGCAGUGCUCAAUCUGGCUAUGGACAAGGUCGUCGGAAUAUUGAGGGGAGUAGCUGGUGUUGCUGCUGACGCCAAUGCAUUCCGUGAAUUCUUCCACUGGGUCACACCACACGUCUUAGCUGCCGUACGUUCUCAACAGCAGCAGCAGCUGCUGCAACUGGAUUCAGGAGGGCCAGUAUCAGCAUCAACUGGAAACAACAGAACAGCUCCACUGCAUCAGAUUCAGGAUGAUCUUCAGAAACUCGAGCACAACCUUUGGGUGAUCCAAACAACUAUUACAUCCACGAUGCAUGAUCUCAUCGACCGCCUUGAGUGGCAUAGCCACAGGGAAACAGAAGCCAGGCACCUUCGCCAGAUCAAGGAUGCAGUGUACGAUGCCGAGGACCUCCUUGAUGAGUACAAUUACUAUGCUCUUAAGGUGAAAGUGGAGGCGAGCAAGAACUUGGGGCAAGAUCACUCACAUGGACCCGUUUUAGAGUUCUUGGACAGUGUCAACUUCAAUGGCAACUUCAGCAAAGUGAUGGAAAUCCAAGACAGACUGAAGCAUGUUUUCGACCAAUCCAUGGGUUUAGGCUUGCACAAAACACCCAAGAAGUUUGAUCGAUUAGUCAGGCCAGAGACAUGCCGUGUCCUUGAUGAGUCACAGAUAUUUGGUCGUGAGCAAGAACUGAAGGAGUUGAUGCAAAUGCUAGGAGUAGAUGGACACAAGAGAGGCAGGCCUGCAGCACACACUAACACUACUGAAGCAAGAAGGAUGGAGUUGCCUGUGUUGCCAAUAGUUGGCAUGGGAGGUGUCGGCAAGACAACUAUGGCCCAACAAAUCUGUGAGGAUCCAGAGGUGCGCAAACAUUUUCAUCACCGCAUAAUCUGGAUAUGUGUCUCAGAUGAAUUUGAGGUAAACAGGUUAACAAAAGAUGCUCUGAAGUCUCUUGGAGUCAAGUCAGAAGAUACCGAUACAAGGGAUAAUCUUAUGGUUAAUUUACGUGAUAGUGUCAAGUCAAAGAAGUUUUUGCUCGUCCUUGAUGACAUGUGGGAUGAUGUCUUAAAGGAUGAGAAAGGAUGGAGAACAUUUCAUAGAACUUUAAGCAAUGGUCUUGAUGGCAGUAUGAUUUUGGUCACCACUAGAUCUUCCAAGGUUGCUAACUUAGUCAGCGACGGUAAUCACUAUGAGCUGAAAGGAUUGCAAGAUGGGGUUUUCUGGAAUUUCUUCAAACUAUGUGCAUUUGGAUCUGUCCAGAGUUGGAGCAACAGGCCAGAGUUGCAGCGCAUUCGUCCAGAAUUGGAGCGCAUUGGUAGAGCUAUACUUCCCAAGUUGAAGGGUUCACCUUUGGCUGCCAAAACUCUUGGACGAUUGUUGAAAUGCAACCGAAGCAUAGAGCACUGGGAAGACAUAUUGAAAAGAGCUGUGGCGAUUAGAACAAGAGGAGACUGACAUUUUGCCGGCCCUUCGACUAAGCUAUGCGUACCUGCCGCAGUACAUGAAAGAAUGCUUCUCAAUCUGUGCUAUAUAUCCAAAGGAUCACAUAUUUCAAAAGGAAUUUUUAGCAGACAUUUGGGUAGCACAAGGGUAUGUGGAGCCUCAAGAUGCAUCCUCUUGCUUUGAUGACCUUGUAAACCGAUCCUUCUUUCAGCAAGCAGCCCACCAAUAUGAUAAUCAGUAUGUAAUUCAUGAUUUGCUACAUGAUACAGCACAACUAGUCUCUAAGGAUGAGCGCUUCAUCAUACAACAUGUAAGUGACCUAGCUAAAAUCCCUCCAAAGGUACGUCAUCUAUCAAUAUUCACUAAUGGAAAUAUCAGAUGUUCAGAUUUACUGUAUAUUUGCGCACAAAAUAAAAAAUUGCGUUCCCUAGUAUGCAAUGAUUCUUACAUAAAUUGGGAACCUUUUGCUCCCAUGAUUGACGGUUGGUUCAAUGAACUUUUGAAUAUCCGUGUAUUGAGUUUUGAUCUUUCGACUGUCAGAAAGCUACCUGAGAGCAUAGGCAACUCAAUACAUUUGCGCUACCUUGGUUUAUUAGGAAAUUCUACUUUUGAGACCCUUCCUUCAUCUGUUAGCUGCCUGUAUCAUGUCCAGACUAUAAAUGCCAAGGGUUGUGUUUUCAAAAGAUAUCCUCAAGGUUUUAGUGAUCUUAUUUCCUUAAAGAAAAUUGAAUCAAAGGGCUUCAUAUAUAAUAAGGAUAAAGAUAAGCAAUGCCUAAGGUGGCCCAUAAUGCGAACACCUGACAGGGGCGAAGCCAGAACAAGGCUGAGCCCCCCCUAUGCUCCAAACCUGGCUCUGCCACUGACACCUGAAGAACAGUUACAGAUGACAGAGGAGCAGAUUGAAUUGUUACCUCAUUGGAACCUUCAGCAUUUGACAAUAGAGUAUUACCUGGGUCAAUCUUGCCCCAGUUGGCUCCGGCCAGACUGCCUGAAAAUGCUGACUUCACUUAAACUUUCUUAUUGCAAGAACAUUCAGAGCAUAUCAUUCUUUGACCCACUCUUUCCUGAUUCGGAAGAUUCAAAGAACAUUUGUCACCUUGAGGUGUUGGAUAUCCAACAUUGUCCUAACAUCAAUUGGCAAGGUUUGGUGGCUUUACCUUCUUCUCUUAGAAAGAUUAUCCUUGGAAACUUUGGCCAUUCGACGGAUCACUUUGUGAGUUGCUUUUGUGGCCUCGCUCUCCUGAAAUGUCUGCAAAUACAGUGUGAAUUCUUAAUGUCUAUUCCCCUGCAAGUUUGUAAAAAUAAUCUUCAAGCCUUGGAGGAUUUGCAUAUUUAUCAGUGUAGCUCCCUCACAUCCAUCUAUGUCUCAGAGGCAAGCAGCAGGCACCCUGUUGGAGUAUUUUCAUCCCUUUCAAGUGUCACCAUUUCUCUUUGCAAUGCACUGUUGAGUCUUGAUGAGUUCCUGAUGCCUGCUUAUAUGCCCGUCGUGAAGACCAUUCUUGUGGAAAGUUGUCGACAAUUAGCAUUACUGCCGAUUGAUGAGCUUCAUCGCUUUUCUUGCUUGGAGGUGCUACGUAUUGAAUCAUGUCCCAAUUUGAAUACACGGAGGAUAAUGACAUUACCAUCCUCUCUUCGGAAGCUCAGUUUACUCGGUUGUCCAAGCAUAGAGUUCAUCGACAACAGCCAUCUGGCGAGUUCUGUGACACUCAAGGGACUCAACCUGAAACUUGUUAGCUGUCCAGACCUCAUCUCUAUUGUUGGUGCUAUAUCUAUCUCUGAAAUACAGUCGGGUUAUAUACAUGAUUGCCCCAAGCUGAUGGAGAUGACACAGCCUUUCACAAGAGGUCGCUACUGGUACGUGCUAAGGAAUCACACUUGAUAGCUCUUUUUUUUUUCUGUUAAAACUGGUUAUCUUCAUCUAUCAUAGAGUAAUCUCAUUAACUUUUUGAUAAUUUUUUUUGUAUGAAAUAUUUUUAAGCUCACAGCAAAUUGUCAUGCUAGAAGUGCUCUGCUUCCAUAUCAUAAAUUGUGUUGUACUUAUUUAUAACAUCUAGAGUUCUAGACUCGACCAAAUCUCAUAAUUGGUAUUACAGUUAGUCGUAUUUUCAUCAACUGUGGCAAACAGACCGGUUUCCGCUGGCUGUCAAGUCCACAAUAAGCCGAUACUAGCUUUUUGGAGACUUCACUUUUACAAUACUAUGUCGUAGAAUACUAAUUUGUUUAGAUUUAGUUAUGCUCUAGGAAAAGAAAGCUGAAAUGAAGUACGAGUUGUACUAUUUAUAUUCAUUGGAUUUGAUAGUUCAUUGUUGUUAAUGGUUUCAGAUGAUUUCAAGAUAAUGUCGAGUGUUCAAGAUGAUUUCAGAUGCAAACAGCACAGAACAUGCCAGCAUAAGUUAUGUUGGGGAUCAGGGAGAAUCAUCUCGGCAAACUCUACAUCAUUCACUUAUAUCAUAAUGUUUGAAGUUUAGUAAUAAACUUUGUUAUUAUAUAUAGGAGAGAGCCAAAAGAAAGUGCAGACUAAUCAGACCAUGGGUAUUGGCUAGGAGAUGAGAAUCUCAAGAGCUGAAUUUGUGGGUGUACAAUUGUGUAUUUUACUGGAUGAUACCCCAUGCAUUGGUGUGGAGAUUUACGUGAAAGACUAUUAUAUAUAGAGGGACAAACUUUAUAAAAAUAUAACGGUAUCAUGAUGAAUAACUUUGAAUCACUCUAUUAAAUUUUGUAGGAUGCAGUUUUAUUUCAGCCCACGGUGGCUUUUGUUGUGUGUUGGUCUUAGUAGAAUUGUAUCAGGGAACUAUAGCCUACGUACAUAACCGAAGUAUCUUAAAACUGCUGAGAUGAAAUCUGUAUGCAAUGGCUCAUGUAUUCUUGAUAAUGAUAUGGCGUGCUUUAUCUAAAGGCUCCUUUAUAGUGUUAAUUGCAGUUAGUGGAUCAGACAAUUAUAUAGGAAGAAAGGAUUACGGUGUUAGAAAAAAGAACUCUUUAUCUCUGUUACUGAGCAAUUGAUGUGGAGCACUUAGAAGUUGGCAGUGUAGAUUUUGAUGUAUUGCCUGUCAGAGCUCGUCAGUAUGCAAAUAUUAGAUUGAACUGAAAUUUGCCAAAAGGGUUUAUAUUAAGCUGUAAGGUGAGAGACAUCAGUAAAGAUGGCCAUCAUUCAUGGGCUGUGGAUGAUAACGAGGAGCAUCUGGCUCCUUUUCUGCCGAUGCGUUUGCUCUACUUGUUGUCAGUGCUCUAUUGUCUUGAAAUGGCGUCCGUUGAAACACUACCACAUGACAACAUCAUUUAGAAAUAGAGUAAAUUUCAAAAUAACUCAGGUUGUAAGGCAUAUGCAUAUGUAAAGAGACAAUUGCUUAUGGGACUAGAGAGAGUACAUGACAACAAUAAGCAAAACAUACACCCUCCGUUCUAACAUUUAUCUAGAUUCAUCUGCAUAAGUUAUUUUUUAUUAGACGAAGGGAGUGCAUGACAACAACAUUUACUCAUUUAGAGGUUGUGUGGCCGAAAGAUUUAUCUAUUUGUCACUAUAAGAAACGGUCAUUCUCCAAAUGCUACUAUUAAAAUUAUCAUUACAUUUUUUUACACUGGAGUGAGGAGAAUGUUUUUUUUUUUUGCUACUUUCGCAUAUAUGGGUGUGCCAACGGGGGAAUAAGUACACUUUGACUCCCUCAAAUAUACAAUCAAUUUAAUUUCUAUCCCUCAAUCACAAUAGCAAAUAUCUUAAACCCUUACGGCCUUAACUAUUAAAACUGGUGCAAAAUAACUUUCUCGGUGGUUAUAAAGUUGGUUUUCAUUGGCAUGACUCGUUGAUCUAGUCCAAUCGCUGAGUCGGCAUGUAUGGACCCACAUGUCAUCAUCUCUCUCCUUCCCUUCUUCCUCCUCCCCCUCUCUCUCCCUUCUCUCCAUGUUCCCAUCCCUACUCCAACAGCGGCACUGCCGUGCUGUGGUGUCAACGACGAGGCCACCCCGUCAUCGGUUUCACUUUCCCUGGUGCCGCUGCGCAAGGUCGCCCUAGUGACCGGCAUCACAAGGUAGGACGGGAGCUACCUAAUGGAGCUUCUGUUCCGGAAGGGCUACGAGGUGCGCGCGACGGCUCUACCACAUCUAACAUGACCCACACACACAAUCAUCGAUGCCACGCUAGUAGAUGCACCUCCACUACGCCGACAUCUCUAACUCCUCGUCGCUCCGUUGCGUGCUUGAUCACAUCCUCCUCGACGAGGUCUACAACCUCACCGCGCAGUGCCAUGUCGCGUUGUCCUUCGAGGUGCCCGACUACACCGCCGACGUCACAGCCACGAGCGCGCUCUGCCUCCUCGAGGCCGUCCACCUCGCCCACAAGCCCAUUCGCUACUACCAGGCGGUCCCCUCCGAGAUGUUCGGCUCCACGCCACCACUACAAAGUGAGUCCUCCCCCUUCCACCCAUGGUCCCCUACACCGUCGCCAAUUCGCCGCCCUCUAGUACGCCAUCAACUACCACGAGGCUUACAGCAUGUUUGCCUGGCAGCAGCGUACUCUUCAACCAUGAGUCCUCACGCCAUGGCGAGAACUUCAGACUAACAUUACCGGCGCCGUCGGCCGCAUCAAGGUUGGACUCACCAAGGUCUUCCUCAGCAAUCUCUCUGUCACCAGGGACUUGGGCUUCUUCGGGGACUAAGUCAAAGCAAUGUGGCAUAUGUUGUAGCAGGACCAGCACAGCGACUACGUCGUAGCCACCAAGGAGUCCCACACCGUCAAGGAAUUCCUCUUGGCCAUCUUCCCCAGUAGCAGCUCCGUCAGGUGGCUCCUGUCAUGCCUCGUGAUGCUGGUCACCAAGGCGACCUUCCACGAUGGCACCAGGGAAUGCAGCAUCAAUGGCUGGGGUGGCCUCAUUGUUGUCAGCACCACCGUUGUCCACUGUUAGAGUGGGGUGGGGACAGGGAGAUAUAAGGGAGAGAGGGGAGUAGAAAGAAUGGAAAAAGAGAGAAAGGAUGACAUGUGGGCCCACACAUGCUGACAACGAAUGGAUUAGGUCAACAAGCCACAUCAACAUAAACCUCACUCAAAACCACCGAGGAAGUCAUUUGCACCGGUUUUAAUGGUCGAGGGUUUAAGAUAUCUGGUAUUGCGAUUGAGGGAUAGGAAUUAUAGAAUCCAGAUCCUCUGACGUAGCGCUUGGACACCGCAUCGAACGAAAGCGCGGAGUGUGGCAGCCAAACUGGCUCGCGCUCGGCCCAAAUCAGCAAAAUAGCAAAAUCGGCAUCGGUCAUUCGCUCCCAAUUCCUCAAGGCCGUCAGCCGGUGACCGCUCCUCGUCGUCUCCUCCGGCCCAAGCGCUGGUGGAGCGGAUCCUGCAGGAAGCACCUCCCCUCGUUGUCAGCCACCUCCCCGUCAAUCGCCUCCUCGCGCCUCUUGAGAGCCCUGCUUCAUCCGGGGGAUCUGCCUCGUCUGGGUCUACCUCGACGACGAUGGCUUCCACGGCGGAGCACUUCACCACCACCCACAUCAGAGCAGUGAGACCAGUGACAGGGGUCGCGCUGCCACGAUACCACAUCCGUUGCUGCCAUGACCGCAGCACUGCCGCCACAACGAUGACCACCAUCACCACGGGCUUUUGGAGGAAGGCAACAGUUGCUUGAGAAGCCUAGUUGCGAUUGUAAAUUGAUGUGAAUGCGGCAAUUGGAUGUCUUCUUUACUGAUUCCAGACUGAUUAAUUUGUCCAAUUGAGAAUGUUCUAUUAUGCAAUUUGAGAUCAGUACAUACAAACUUGGCAUAUAUGCAUAGAGACUUGCAUACUACUUGCUUUUGCUUGCAAAAUGGCAAAAGAUAGCUGUUUGUACUCCACCCGCACCUGAGCCAGACUGGACGGGACAACGAGCGACCGCCGGCCGAUGGCCACGAGGAAUUAGGAGAGAUCCAAGAUUUUGCUGGCAAAUUAAGGAAACGAGCUCUUUCUUCUAACGGACCGUGCUAUUUCGCUGAUUUGGGCCGAGCACAAGCCAGUUUUGCUGGCUCACUCCGUGCGUUCGUCCAAUGCGGAAUGGACGACGUAGACGUCCAUCUGACGUCACGAGUGAUCUGGAUCCAAAUUAUACUGGAUGUAUAUUUGAGGGACUCAAAAUGGACUUAUUCUGCCAACAUGUACUGUCAACACAAAAGGUCCAUUUUGCCUCUUGUAGGUAGGGAUGAAAACGGUACGGAAACGGACGGAAACCAUCUUUAUCGUUUUCGUUUUCAUAUUUUUUUCGGAAUCGAAAAGCCCGGAUACGAAAAUGGAAUCGAAUAUUAUCGAAACCGAAAACGGAGCGAAAACGAAGUGGCACAAAUACGGUAACGAAAAUUUAUCGGAAUACAGAAACCCCUCAAACUGAUAAAUCCAAUUCUCAAGUCUCAACGGUCAACAAUUCAUCGUAAAACACAAUCAUAUAAAUCCAAUUGUUAAGUCUAAACAAUAUAUCACAAAACACAAUCUAUGAAAUAAAUUAUCUAUGUUUAAGAGAGUAAUGUUGUUGAUAAAUCCCAACGCAGAAAAAAAAUAUUCUUAUGUAACUUCAUAUUUACAUAACAAAUAUUUUUUUAAAAAAAAUAAAAGCCAAACACCAUCGUAUUCAGUACUUAAAAAAAGAAUUCAAAGUAUUUCAGUCACAAAAUUUCCGGAAAUUCCGAGAAAAUUUCUAGAAAGUUUCUAACUGAUUCCGGAAACUACCCUUAUCAUUUUCGAUUCCGUUUCCGAGAAAAUAUUUCCGAAUUUGUUCUAUUUCCGAAAAAUUCCGACCGAUAAAUUCCAUUUUCGAAAAUAGGUCCAAAAUACGGAAAGUUUCCGUACCGUUUUCGCCACUACUCGUGGCAUGUUAGAGAACAAGCUCCAUCUCCACUUUUCCCCUCUAGUACUGAUGUUGUUGCUGACCUGAUGGCUAUUUUUUUUCUUCUAUUUUAUCUCUCCCAUGGGAGCGGCGGAGCUUCUCGAUCCGACGGCGACAGUCAUGGGGAGCAGCAGGCUUCACGGCCAUGGCUACCUCGGUUGGGGUGGCUGGCUGGCUCCCUGCCUCGAUCCCUGGCCGCCGGGCACUGCUCCUCCUCCUCGGCUCCCCACCACGAACAGGACUGAGGUGUGGUUGCUAGCUAAUGCUGCUUGAACUACUUUGGUUUUUUGUUUUUGUUGUCCCCCUUGUUCCAACCGAAGAAAUUUGCGUUUUAUUGGUGUUCGGUUGCUCCAGUGUACAAAUCCAACCAAAUAUCAUUCUUUGCCUCUCUCGAUUUGUUUCCAGGCACACUGGAGAUGGACUACGAACAUCAGACUGUAUAGAUGACGUGAGAGAGUCAAUAAUCUAGACAGACUGAGUAUUCAAAUUCGUAGUACUAGAAUAUAUCAUAUCUCUUUUAAAUCCUUUAUAUGGUCAUGUUAUUUUCUCCAAUAAGAGUUAUAUGAAGAUUAAGAUUUUUGUGGCACGUAUUUCAAACUGUUAAACGGUGCGUAAAAACUUUCUAUAUGAAAAUUACUCUAAAAUAUGAUAUUAAUCUAUUUUUCAAAUUUUUAGUAAUUAAAACUCAAUCAAUUGUACGCUAAUACCACGUUGUUUUGCGUAAAAAACUUAACUUUCAUAGGAAAAAGACACCAUCUAUAUAUGGAACAGAGGGAGUAUCACAUUCCGUAUUAAAUUUUUUUUUUAUGCGAUGGAGGGAGUUACUGAUUAACCAUGUGUCGCAUUCUGCCACUGACGUUAGUGAUGUGUCGGCGGCGGCGCAGUCACCGCGCUCAUGAACUCCUCGUCGGCGACCAGCCUCGCGAGCGCCUCCGGUGCCAGGCAAAUCUCCACCGCCAUGCCGCCGCCGCCGCCUCGCCUCUCGUACACCGUAAUCUUCCCGUCCAUCUUAUUCCCGGCGCCGCUCCGGACGCCCACCGGCCUCCCCCACCCGAAGUCGUUGCCGAACACGUCGAACCGCGGCGAGCCCGAGAUCACCACCACGCCGGCGUUCUGCAGGCUCGCCACCGUCACGAACCUCGGCGUCUCCGGCCACGCCGGCAGCGUGCGCCUCACGCUCGCCUCGUCGCCCGCGGACGCCACGGCGCGGUUCAGCAGCCACGCCGCCCAGCCGAGCCCUCUCUCGAGGAGCUCGCCGGCGGUGGCCCUCGCGACGGCGCCCACCACCGUGUUGCCCAUGUAUUCUUGUGGCACCUCCUUGACCCGCGCUCGCAGUCCCACGGAGAGGCCGUGCCUCGUCUCCAGCUCCGGCGCGAGGCGGCGGGCUCGGCACACGGCUCGCCAGAUGUGCGCGACCACCGACUGGAGCGACGAUAUGGCGGCGCCGCCCGCCGCCGCCGGCCAUCUCGGCGUUCGCCUUCUCCUUCAGCGUCCUCACGCUCUCCGCCGAGAAAUGGAGGAAGCACUCCUCCACCGGCGUGUACGCAGGCCGCCGGACCAUGUCCUCCAGCUUGGCGAAGGGUAGAGGGAUCGGCGCCGGGAUGCCGUCCACGAACCAUCUGUCGAACACUGGCGGCGGCGUGGAGAGCUCGAGGUCGGCGUUAUCAGCGCCGCUGCGGCGGCGGUUGAUCUCCGACCAGGUGCGGAACAGGUGCCAGAAGGUGAACCCGUCGGCGACGCCGUGGUUGAGCGACAUGGCGAUGAACAUGCCGUCGGCGAGCUCGGUGGCCUGCGCGGCCAGGACAGGGCGGCGGGGCUCCACGGCGGCGUCCGUGCCAAGCAUGCCGUUGAGCGGGAAGAAGGACCACACCACCCUUGGGACGAAGAGCGAGUCGGCGAUGUCGGCCACGGUGACGCCGGGCGCCACGGCGUGGACGAACUCCGCCCCCUCGCCAUUGCAGCGGAGCGAGAGGGAGAUGGUCGGACGAGCACCACCAGGCGACGGCGGCGUCUCGGCGACGGCGAGGCGGCCGGCCAGCGGGUAGAAGCGGGCCAGCGCGCGGGCGAACGACGAGACAAGGUGUUCGACGACGUGCUCACCUCCGCCGGGAGGCUUGGGCAGGACGACGCCCUUCUGGACGUAGUCGCCGGUGAUCAUCCGGAGAUCCAACGGCGUGAGGUGGUGCACCGUCUCGUGCUCCGGCAGCUCGCCGGCGUGCUCCGCCGCCGGCCGGACCAUGCGCCGCGACACGAUGUGGACGCCGCCUUCCAUUCUCGACUAGCUCUCGAGCUCAGUCGACUAAUGGUGCGUACGUGUUCGAUGAACAAGAUCGAGUUUUAGGCAUUGAAUAUUUAUAUUUUUUUUUAUAAAGCAUAUGGCAUAUCACUCCGCGAAUAUACAGCUUUAAAUUUAGCUUUAACAAACAUAACCAUGUAUACGGAUACUUAGUUAGAGUUUUGUUACAGCUGGUAGAAAUCCAAUUUAAUUAUACGUAUCUGUGAACUGAUAUAUCUCAUAUUUUUUAUAAUAUAUUUUUUAUAUCUAGAUAAAAUGCAAGAAAACGAGAGGAUGCUUGAUGGGGAAAAAUCCAUAUACGAUGUACAGCUGUAUACGAUUUGUGUGGUUUUUGAAAAACAAACGAGUACAUUCAUGAAUGAAUGAAUUGAUAAAGGGCAUCCGAGGAAGCUUACCUGACUUUACACAAGAAGAUCCACAAAAGAGCUAACUGAUAAAAAUAAGAGAACAGUGAUGGGUCUAAAUAGUAGUGGUGUCAAAAUUCCUGUAUCAAAAACACACGCAAUUACAAAUUUACCAUUGGUUUGAAUUCCACGUUAUUGCAAGACUGCUAUUAAAAAAUUACAAAAAUACCAUAGAAUUAUCAUUCGAGUAGCAUUCUUACAUAAUUGAAAAAAAUCACACUGGUGGAGAAACCAUCUUUCGUCGGUCGGCCGAUUUCCACAAUAGUCCCGGAUGCAAUAAAAACCGGGGCUAAAGAUGAUCUUUAGUCCCGGUUCAAAAGGGUAACGGGCAUAUUUGAUCUUUAGUCCCGGUUUGUGUUACCAACCGGGACUAAAGAUCAUCUUUAGUCCCGGUUCGAAUGCUGUCAGGACCUGUCAGGCCCCCCCCGGGAUCUUUAGUCCCGGUUUGGUAGCACCAACCGGGACUAAAGAUCUUCACUUUAGUUCCGGUUGGUUAUACCUACCGGGACUAAUGAUCCCGGUGAUCUUUAGCCCCGGUUUGGUGCUACCAACCGGGACUAAAGUCCCACCCCUAUAUAUAUGUCUUCUUCCUCCUCCAGCUGCCCGAGCAAGCUUCAAAAUUUCUUCAAAAAAGAGGGGAGGUCAUGCCAAAAUUUCUAUUGAAUUUAUUUUGGUGAUUACAUACAAAUCGGAGGUGCCUAAAAGGUUUGCAACUUCAUCCUCCAAUGUUUUUUUUGUCAUACUACAUUUGCACCUAUGUUUUGCACACUUUUUUUGUCUCCAAAAUUUAGUUGUAAGUUGAUGAGAGAGAAAAUGUGUGUGGGGAAGAAAGAAUAUAUAGAAAUUUAGUUCAUUUGCUAAACAAGGUUUUAUAAAAUAGUUGAGAAGGAAAACUCUAGUGAAAGUUAAUAUUAAAUAAUAGAAAACAAACUAAAAUAAAAAUUAAAAGAAGUAAAACACAUUAAAAUUAGUUUAAAACUUUACAAAUAGUUUUUAAGAAUUAUUUGGUGUAAUAUUUUAUGAUUUUUGUAUGAAUAAAGAUAUCUUAUAAUUAUUGUAUGACUGUCAUUAUUGUAAGAAUAAUUAUUUGUGUGCAGUUUUUUUUACUCAUGUAGAUGGAUCGGCAAUGGAUGUACGCUGACCGGCGGUCCAAAGAGUUUAUUGACGGCGUGCACUAUUUUUUGAGAGUGGCCGAAGCUAACAGGCAAAGGGGUUUUAUUUGUUGUCCAUGCAAUAAGUGUAAGAAUCAGAAGGAGUAUUCUGCAUCCAGGACUAUUCAUUUCCACUUGUUUGAGUCGGGGUUCAUGCCAAGCUAUAAUUGUUGGACAUCCCACGGAGAGCAAGGUGUUGAAAUGGAAGAAGAUGAAGUGGAAGACGACAAUAUUCCGGACUUUGCUCAGUAUGUUGGAUUUGAAGGAAAUCAAACGGGCGAGGAGGAAAUAGCUGCUGAUGGUAACGACGUUGCGGAUGAUCUUGGUCAGAUGUUGCAGGACGCCAGGGAAGACUGCGAAAGUGAAAAGGAGGCCCAUAAAUUGGACAAGAUGUUGGAGGACCACAGAACUUCGUUGUACCCAGGUUGCGAGCAGGGGCACAAAAAGUUGGAUACCACUCUGGAGUUGUUGCAAUGGAAGGCAAAAAAUGGGGUUAGUGACAAGGCAUUUGGCGAUUUAUUGAAACUUGUCAAGAACAUUCUUCCGGGGGGAAACAAAUUGCCCGAGACAACGUACGAGGCUAAGAAGAUAGUCUGCCCGUUAGGACUGGAAGUUCAUAAGAUUCACGCAUGUCCGAACGAUUGUAUCCUAUAUCGCGGUGAGGAGUAUGAGAACCUAGAAGCAUGCCCUGUUUGCAAAGCACUACGAUACAAGAUUAGACGGGACGAUCCAGGAGAAGUUGACGGGCAGCUAACAAAGAAGAGAAUUCCUGCUAAGGUGAUGUGGUAUUUCCCUAUAAUACCACGGCUAAGGCGUUUGUUCAGGAACAAGGGGAAUGCUAGAAUGUUGCGAUGGCACGCUGAAGAGCGUCAACAGGACGGGAUGCUGAGACACCCCGCCGAUGGUUCGCAGUGGCGAAACAUCGACAGAAAAUUUAAAGAAUUUGGAAAGGACGCACGAAACAUACGGUUUGGUUUGAGUACGGAUGGCAUGAAUCCUUUUGGAGAGAUGAGCAGCGGCCAUAGCACUUGGCCCGUUACGAUGUGUAUCUACAACCUCCCCCCUGGCUAUGCAUGAAGAGGAAGUACAUAAUGAUGCCGAUUAUUAUUCAAGGCCCCAAGCAACCUGGUAACGACAUCGACGUGUACCUAAGACCACUGGUCGAAGAUCUUAAACAGUUGUGGAAGAAGGAAGGUGUCCCCGUGUGGGACGAGGACAAACAGGAGGAGUUUAACCUACGAGCGCUACUGUUCGUAACCAUCAACGAUUGGCCUGCACUUAGCAACCUAUCCGGACAGUCCAACAAGGGGUACAAGGCUUGCACUCACUGUAUGGAUGAAACAGAAAGUACGUAUCUUAAGCACUGUAGGAAGGUUGUAUACAUGGGUCAUCGUCGAUUCCUUGCAGCAAACCACCCGGUACGGAAGAAAGGCAAGCACUUCGAACAUAAGGCCGACCACCGUACGAAGCCUAAACAUCGCAGCGGGAAAACAGUGUUUGCUAUGGUUAAAGAUCUUAAAGUAGUGUUCGGAAAGGGGCCUGGAAGCCAGCAUAUAGAGAGCGAAGAUGGUCACGCGGCGAUGUGGAAAAAGAACUCUAUAUUUUGGGAGUUACCAUAUUGGGAAUUCUUGGACGUACGCCACGCAAUCGACGUGAUGCACCUCACUAAGAACCUUUGCGUAAACCUUCUUGGCUUCCUAGGUGUAUACGGAAAGUCGAAAGAUACACUGGAAACACGUAAUGAUCUGAAGCAUAUGGAACAACGCGGCGACCUUCACCCGGAACCAAAGGAGAAAGGAAGCCAUUACUUGAGUCCAGCCAGCUACACUCUUAGCAAGGCAGAGAAGGAAAGUAUGUUUGAAUGCUUGGAGAGCAUAAAGGUACCGUCUGGAUACUCCACGAAUAUCAAGCGAAUAAUAAGCACGAAGGAGAAGAAGUUCACAAACCUAAAGUCUCAUGACUGUCACGUGUUGAUGACACAACUGCUACCAGUUGUAAUAAGGGGUAUCCUUCCAGACAAUGUCCGGGCAACAAUAACAAAGCUAUGUGCAUUCAUGAACGCAAUUUCGCAGAAGGUCAUCGAUCCGGAUAGAUUAGAAACCCUUCAGAAUGAAGUGGUGCAAUGUCUCGUCAGUUUUGAGUUGAUAUUUCCACCUUCAUUUUUCAAUAUAAUGACGCAUCUGCUUUGUCACCUUGUGAAAGAGAUCCGUAUUCUCGGGCCUAUGUACCUACACAACAUGUUUCCUUUCGAGAGGUACAUGGGCGUUCUGAAGAAGUAUGUUUGUAACCGUGCUCGUCCAGAGGCAAGCAUCGCCAAGGGUUAUGGAACAGAGGAGGUCAUCGAAUUUUGCGUAGAAUUUAUCGAAGACCUUCGCCCAAUCGGGGUACCUGAAUCACGCCAUGAAGGGAGACUACGGGGAAAGGGAACUCUCGGAAGGAAAGCAAUAAUGACGGUAGACAACAAUUUAUUCCGUAAAGCCCAUUUCACUGUUCUGCAACACUCUUCAUUGGUAGCUCCUUACAUCGAGGAGCACUUGGCUCUAGUUCGCGCCAGGAACAUCGGUAAGUCCGAUGCAUGGAUUACACGGCAUCACAUUGAUACUUUCCCCGCGUGGCUACGACAACAUCUCAUGGGUAACGAGUCGAUCAACCAACAACUUGCCUUCCUGGCGAGGGGACCGUCUGGGUCGAUCGCGACAUUCCAGGGAUAUGAGAUCAAUGGGUACACAUUCUACACGAGAGCCCAAGACAUGAAGAGCACGAACCAAAACAGCGCUGUUCGUGUCGAUGCCAUGGGACACGAUGGAACAACUGCCACGUAUUACGGUGCCAUCGAGGACAUAUGGGAACUUGACUAUGGUCCUCUCAAGGUUCCUCUGUUCCGGUGCCAAUGGGUUAGGUUGACUGGUGGAGGCGUAAUGAUUGAUGACAGUGGGAUGACAACUGUUGACCUUAACAAGGUUGGAUACUCGGACGAACCUUUUGUCCUUGCCAAUGAUGUAACGCAAGUCUUUUUCGUGAAGGACAUGUCUAGCAAAGGAAAGAAGGGCAGAGGGCCUGAUGAGCCUAAGCGUCAAGUGGUUCUCCCAGGCAAAAGAAAAAUCGUCGGAGUUGAGGACAAGACUGACGAGGAUUACGAUCAGUUGGAUGGGCAACCCCCUUUUACGGUGACGAUUGACCCUAGCAUCCUCCUAUCAAAUGAAGACACCCCUUACUCACGCAGCGAUCACAAGGAGGGAACAAUAGUGAGGAGAAAGUACGUGCGGUCAACCGUCACCGCCGAUGUAAUGCCGUAAUUAUUGUGUACACGAUGUAAACUAUUUUGGAUGUAUUGAUUAUCCAUAUAAAUCAAUUGAUGUAUGGCAUAUGUUAAUUACGCACGAUUACUAGAGGUUUCAACAAGUUUAAAUCAUGUAUAUGUUAGUUAUAUGUGAUACUUACAAUUUUUAAAAGUUUUAAAUCACACAGGUGGCAAUUUCAUAUGUAUGUUAAUUAGAGUUUUUAACAUUUAAUUUACUAGCAUUCAUAUGCUAAUUAUAAUUGACUAGAGGAUUUUUAAAAGUUUUAAAUCACGCAAGUGGCAAUUUCAUAUGUUAAUUAGAGUUUUUAACAUUUAAUUUACUAUCAUUCAUAUGCUAAUUAUAAUUGACUGGAGAAUUUUUAAAAGUAUUAAAUUUAAUAUAUUUUUAAAACUAUCAUUCAUAUAUUAGAGUUUUUCACAAUUUAAUUUACUAUCUUUCAUAUGCUACUUAUAUAUGACUAUUCGAAUUUUUAAAAGGUUUAAAUCAUGCAUGUGGCAUUUACAUAUGUUAAUUAGAGUUUUUAGCAUUUAAUUUAAUAUAAUUCCUACGCUAAGUACAUAUGAUGAUUACAAUUUUUAUUAAUUUUAAAUCAUGCAGUAUGUACAUUAAUAUCUUAAUUAGAGUUUUUACCAAUAUAAUAAUAUCAUUCAUAUAUAUGCUAAGAAUAUAUAUAUAUUGGAAUUUUUAUUAAUUAUAAGUCAUAUAUUUGCUUAUUACGAUUUAUCCACUUAAUUUAUUACAGACAAAAAUAAUUUUUCGAAGUAAUUGUCAUCAAUCUUUGUACUUUAAAUAAUGUUAAUGCAUUAACUUCUAUUUUAUAAACACAUAUGUAAGCGAAAAUCAUAUGACUUAUAAUUAAUAGCGGGAAUCUUUAGUCCCGGUUCUUAACCCUAACCGGGUUUAAAAAGAAUUUCGAAAUAGCGGGAAAAGAUAUUUACUCCCGGUUGUUGAGAACAACCGGGACUAAAGAUCUAUGCUUAACUCCCGGCCCGGUGCGCCCUCGGCGUCUUCACCAACACUUAAACGUUUUCGGCCGAUCGAUCUCUCUCGGCCUCUCUCCUUCGCCGCCACUGCCUAGGGCAAAUCCCCGCGCCGACGCCGCCGUAUCUCGCCGUCGUCUCGAGCUCGUCGUCCUCGCCGCCGCCUCCGCCUCCUCCGCUGCCGCCGCAUCUCUAGGGUGAGAGCCGCCGCAUCUCCCUUCAUGCAUCUCGAUCUCUCCGAUCUCGAUCUCUCUCCGUCGCCUUCGACGCCGCCGCCUUCGACACCGCGCAACGCCGCCGCCGCAUGCCAACGCCACGCCGCCGCCGCCGUCGCCACGCCGCCGCCGCCUUCGCCGCCGCGCGCGCAAUGCCGCCGCCGCCACGCCACGCCGCCGCCGCCACGCCACGCCACGCCACCGCCGCCACGCCACGCCGCCGCCGCCACGGCCCCACAAAGCCACGCCGCCGACGCCGUCGCAACGCCGACGCACCAAACGCAGAACCGAUGCCACCACACCGCCGUUAACGAACGAGAACGAGAACGAUCGAACGAACGAGAGCGAGAACGAACACGUCAACGUACGUUGCCGCGACAACGUGAACGAGACCGAGAACGAUCGAACGAACGUGAACGAGCUAGGGAACGUGAACGAGCGAACGAACGAGGACGAACGUUAACGUGAAAUGCAAUAUAUAUAUAUAUACAUGUAUAUAUAUAUAUAUAUAUAUAUAUAUAUAUAUAUAUAUAUAUAUAUAUAUAUGUUACUUCGCAUUUAUCCUAAUACAUUUUUUUUAUCUUGCAGAAAAGACAUGUUGUCGGAGUCGUCCGUCAAGCCUGAGUGGAAGAGCUAGCCCUAGAAGGAAUUGGAGCAGGCAAGUGACGUAAUAAUAUAAAUGAUUGUUAUAUUUGUAAUGCAAUUAAUUAAGAUUAUUAGACCUGUAAUUAGACUUAUCAUAUAAGAUUGUGUAGUGUUCUAAUAUUAUUUGAGUUUUAAUAUAAGAUUAUUUUAUUGCAAAUUAGACUUAGUAUGACAUUAUUGACUACGGAAUUGGUGCGACUCCUAGGAAUUGACUAUUGUAGUCUUAAUUAGACUUAGCAUAUACGCACGAAACACUUAGCAUACAUUACUAUUUUAGUCUUAGCAUGUAAUAUUAUUUGAGUUUUAAUAUAAUAUUACUUUAUUUGUAAUUAGACUUGGUAUGUAAUUAUUGACUACGGAAUUGGUGCGACAAGUAGCAAUUGACUAUUGUAGUCUUAAUUAGACUUAGCAUAUACGCACGAAACACUUAGCAUAUACAUGACUAUUUUAGUAUUAGCAUGUAAUAUUAUUUGAGUUUUAAUAUAAGAUUAUUUUAUUUGUAAUUAGACUUAGUAUAUAAUUAUUUACUAGCUAGGGUUGUAUAAUAUACGUCACCUAGACUUAGCUUAUAUCACGAUUUGUAAUUAGACUUAGCACGUAAGGUUGUGUAGGGUUCUAAUGUACGACAUUUACACUUAGCAUACAUGACUUAGAUUGUUAAAACAUAAAUGUCUCGUGACUUAGCAGAUGUUUCUUGUAUCAACAGAUGGCUGACCGCGAUGAGGAACAGAUAUUGUACGAUACAAUCGCGGAGGGAAGCAGCCAGUACUGGAAUGAAGAAGAGGGGAACGAGGAUCCAAACCAGUACUUGAACGAGGAAGGGAACAUGGAGAGGGAUGCGGAGGGGAACCAGCAGGGGCACGUGGAAAGGGAUGUGGAGGGGAACCAGGAGGAGGAGGCUAGUGGUAGUCAACCCUCCGUUGGACAGAAGAGGGCACGCGGGCAACGAGGUGCAGCGAAGAAGCUUGAGGGUCGGCACAUCAUAACGGAAGUGGAAGAAGAUGGACGUCCUAGUGCCCCGGCCGAAGCCGCCAAGAACUAUGUACGUCACAGCGGUUGGGUUGUGCGGGAUAACGUGCCUGUCAGUACGGUGUACUGGCGAAGAACAAGGGCACGCGGAGAUCAUGAGAGCUUUGUCCCAGAUUCGGAGAAAGAGAUGCUGUGGACCACAAUGCUCGAGACAUUCACCCUUCCUGCGGGUACAGAGGACAAAGUGAAAAGGUGGACUCUGAAGAAAAUGGCAGAACAGUUUCAGAGCUUCAAGGGAGAUCUGUACCAGAAGUAUAUACUAAAGGGGCAGACACUGAACUUCGACACAUUCCCAAAGCUAAGGGAUCACUGGGACGAGUUCGUUGCAUAUAAGACAGGUGAACAAGGGAAGGCGAUGAUGGAAAGAAAUAAAGAAAAUGCCGCCAAGAAGAAGUACCAUCACCACUUGGGGUCAGGAGGCUAUAGCGUCGCGAUGCCGAAGUGGGAGCAGAUGGAGGCUAGCUUGAUUGAGAGGGGUAUCGAACCGGCAACAGCCAAUUGGCCGGAACGAUCGAAGUUCUGGUACUAUGCUCACGGUGGAACGCUCAACCCAGCUGAUGGCUCACUGGUCUUCGGCUAUCAGAUACAAGAGGCUGCGCGACGACUAACAGAUGCAGUGGAAGCCUCCUCUCAGGGCACGUUCCGACCAGACAGAGAUAGGGACGAGCUGACACUCGCCCUACAGACUCCAGAGCAUCCAGGACGAACUCGAGGGAAAGGGGUGAUUCCUUGGAAGAUUGGUUUCAAGGAGGACAUCCACACGUACAGGAGUCGGAUGAGGAGCAAGAGAGAUAACGAGGCGAAGAUUGCAGACCUAGAGUUCCGGGUAUCGAGCUACGAACUCAACAUGCAAGAGGAGGUGGCAAGGAAGGUUGAUGAACACAUGGCCGCACAUCGGUCCCAUGAUCCCCAGCCGACCAUUCCUCCUGCAAUGGUGAGCCCGUCAGGAAACCGUAGCAGCUGCGCCUCAACGGGGCAGGUAGGAUCACAGAGCAUGGACGCCAUGCAAACACAGGACGAAUCGACCUGUCCCAUUGAUGACAUCACUCAGCGGACACCAUGUGAGCUGCAUAUUCCUUUGAAAAACUUAUCAAUAAAGGUAAGAUUUAGCCAUUCCGCUAGUUGCUGCUUAUAUAUGUUGAUUACUAAUAAAUAAUCUCUCACAACAUGAAGGUGGCGUCGGGCAUGGCCAUCCCAACGGACCCUUCAGGUACUUACCACUGCAGGCCGAUUCCAGCAGGAUACUCCAAGGUCGAAGUUGAGUUGGUCGAAGGCGCGUACGAGGACCUCGAGCUGGAUUACCCUGGAGGAGACGGUGAGACGCAUCUACGAGACACAUGCCAUGCCAUUAUUCUAUGGCGCAGGCGGUACAUCAUCCUCCCUGGGCGACAAGCGGCGUCUCGUGCACCAUCUCCUCCGGCUCCGCCAUCUCCUCCUCAGGAUCCUGCACCGUCUCCUCCUCAUGCUCCGCCAGCACCGUCUCCACCUCAGGCUCCAGCAUCGACUCCUCAGGAUCCUGCACCGACUCCUCCUCGUGCUCCUACACCUACUCCCCCGCAAGCUCCUCUUCCGGCACCUUCAAAGUCAAGGGCCCCCCCAGCUCCACCGCUUGCCCACAUAAGGGCAACAAAGAAGGCGAAAGUUGACACCGCCAAGAACAAGGACCCGGGGUACGAUUGCACGCAAGAGGAGCUUGACGCUUACGUUGCAUCAGAAGUCAAGAGACAAUUCAAGCCUCGAAGUCCAGAAAAGAAGAUUCCUAUAGACCCCAGUGUCAGGAACUUCUUCAGGGGUAUGUCUGCAUCUGUCAAGGAGGCCAUCAAGCUAUCGGACUAUGAGCGAACGCUGAAGAAAGCAUCUUCUGGAAAGUCCAAACCAGUCCCUCAGCUUGGAGAGCAACCAAACCAGGAGAUCGAGCCGUUGGUGACCGGUAAAGAAAUGACGAUAGAACAAUUUAUUACUGACACCGGUCUAACUACGGAUCAAUUGCUAGGAGUCGCACCAAUCGAAAAGGCGGAAGUGAAAUACAUGUACGAACUCGGUAAACCGCUUGUCAAGCCUGAGCUGCUGCAGUCCCUACCCACACAAAUGUACAAGUUCCAUCAGCUGUACAUGGAGAUGAGCGCCACCGGUAGAGAGAUGAUCGGAGCGAGGAUCAGGGACACGGACUUCUUGCAAGGAGAUGACAUUCUCUGGAUCAAUUUCAGGGGAAUCUACGAACUAUACCAGCUGGACGCCCUCGACGUCUCUAUUAUGAGUUGCUGGAUUUUGUAAGUAUAUCGUUCAGUUAGAUUUCUUACUAUACGUCUCCUUUAAUUAAUUAGGUCCUUGUAUAUAAGUAGACCAUAGAAAAUAAUAUACUCCCUUUUAUCGUUGUAGAAUGGAGAUUCAAAGGGCCCGACGGCGGAGGGUUUUCGAUACUGGAUUCAUCGACCCUCGGAAAGUAAACGUCGCAAUGCUCGACCAAUAUCCACAAGAAACAGAGGACAAUCUCGUCCAUCUCCUGAAGGCGCAGCAUUACAAGACGUUCAUACUGUUGCCAUACAACACAGAGUUAGUUUAAUUUUACUGUCUUCCUACAUACCAAAUUUCAUUCCCGUACGAACUUGCUAAGUGUUUCAUAUGUAAUGCAUCCCACGCACAUUGCAGAUUCCACUGGGUGCUUUUACUCAUCGACCUGGAGGCCUGCACCGUCAACGUAUAUGACUCAAUGGAUAAAAAAGAGUCUACGUUUGACAAGGUUUUCGAACUUAUAGACAGGUACCGUCAUAAGUUCCUUUGUUAAUUAAGAAAAUCUUGUUAUGUUAAUUACUACUACGAAUCAUAGCUUUAAACUCCAUGUAGGGCUUGGUAUCGGUUCCGUCAUUUGGUCCGCGGCAAAUGGAGAGAAAGACUUAGGCGGAAGUUCAAAUUUCCUGUGAGUACACAUGCUCUACAUUUAUAUUUCUCCGAUUCAAAUACAUACAAGUGUAUAUUAAUUAGAUCUCUCGUUGUUUGUCAUUUAUUUGUAGUGCGCAAAGCAAAAGCAGGGAACUAACUUGUGCGGCUAUUACGUGUGCGAGUAUUGCCACUGCCUUGCAGACCAAAUCAUCACCACAAGAGAGCUCGAUGUACGUACAAAUAAAUUCAAAAUUUCAUUACGUAGCGAUUUUUUGUUUAAUUACUAAUCAAUUUCAUACAUUCAUAUAGUUUAUUCGCAUGAGGGAUAACCUGACCACACACAAGGAAUUUAUCGCGGCGGUUCAAGAACAACUCAUGGGAUUCAUCAACGAAGAAAUCCUUGAUCCCAAGGGUGAAUUCUACUACGACGGAAACACAAUUCACCGGUCCUUAGCUUCUGAGCUAGCAGCGAGUACUACUACGUCGAAAUCGUAGCUAGCUAGGACAUAUAAUGGAUUGUAAUUAAUAUAUGACUACAUAUGUUUCUAUAUGCAUGUGCACACAUUUUCUAUAAUGUAAAUAUAUUUUGUUCAUAUAUAUAUCUAUAUACAUAUGCAUUUGCAUAACAUAUAUAUGUAUAAAUACAUAUAUAUAUAUGUAUGCAUAUAUAUGUAUUGAAACAUAUAUAUGCAUGGUUUAUAUAUAUAUAUAUAUAUAUAUAUAUAUAUAUAUAUAUAUAUAUAUAUAAACCAUGCAGCAACAGGGGCAUGCAAAAAAAAAAAGGUCAGCUAUAUCUUUAGUCCCGGUUGGUAACACCAACCGGGACUAAAGAUCGAUCUUUACUCCCGGUUAUUUCACCCGGGACUAAAGAUAGCGAUCUUUAGUGCCGGAUUGGUACUCCCGGUUUGGAAACCGGGACUAAAGGGGGGUUACGAACCGGGACUACAAAGGGUUUCUCCACCAGUGUCAGUAGCAAAUUUGUAGAUGCCCCAAAACUAAAAGUUGAAUAUUAAAUCUACCUUUUUGCUUGUAAAACAUACAUCGUGCAAAACAACAAAUUAAAUUUAUAAUCCCAGGUCUCCUUUGAAACAAAGAAAAAAGGGAAGAAUAUCUGGUGGGAUUUGUAAAGUAAGAAAAAAAAUCCUAUGAAAUCCUUUGGCAUAAAGGAUUGAUCCCUAUAUAUUAUUUCGCAAUUUCUCUACUGCCUUCCGUGUCCCCUCCUGUAUAGGGAUAAAUUAAAUCCUUCCAUUUCCACUAUAGGGAUUAAUUAAUUUGGAUGGAAAUCUUCCGUUUCUCUUCCUCCCACCGCGUGCAACACGCUCACAAGCGUAAGUAUGCAUAUGCAUCAGAUCCAAUGUUUUGUCCCUAUUACACUUAUUAUAAAAAGGUAUCUAUAUUUAUAUUUGUCUAAUCCGUACAUGGCAUGUUACUGGUAGUUUAUAAUAAGCCAAUCCAUAAAAAGUUUUAUUAAAAAGAAUGAGGUUAUGCCUUAGUUCCUGCCUGUUUUUUCUAAUGUAUCAUUCAAACAUUAGUUUGGAAACUUUUCUAUGGUUUGGUUUCUGUAACACUCCGUAAUUCAACACGCAUAACAUUUUAUUGGUACAUUUCGAUUAUGUUCCAGUGUUGAAUCAUGCAUUCUAAAGAUGUUUUUAGAAUUUGCGGAUGAGAGAUGUGAUAGACCUUUAAUAUUUGCUUAAUAACUAACGGGAAUGCCCUCGCGUGGGAAAAAAAAUUGAGAGAAUCUAUUAUAUACCACCGAGUUUGUUCGAGUUCAACUAUUUGCCAUCGAUAUUGUCUCUUUCUAUGAUGUACUGGCGACUUUAGCAAUUGUUCUACGAUAUGUCAUUAGACUGGACCUCCUUUUAAAAAUACUCAAAAUACCCUUAGAGAUAUACAAGAUAAACAAUUGAUUUAUCUCGUUAUAAGUUUCAAAAAAUAUGAAAAUUUUUAUGUGGCCUCCUUACACAACAUGGAAGUUUGUACAUAGGUUUUAAAUUUUUUUCUGGUAUAUUUAGUUUUUUCUAAACAAAUAUUAUUAUGUGGUAUAUGAGAGAGAAUUUGCUUAUACAUGAGAUGAUAGCAUAAAAAUAUCUUCUGUAGUGUAUGAAAGAUGAUUUAUAUUAAAAAUAAUAAUAAUAAAGUAUUUUUAUAUACUGUAUAACAGAUAAGUUAUAAAGUAUCUUUUUUAGAAAAAAUAGAAUUGUAAAAAAGUUGAAACUCCUAUACAAAUUUAAAUUUCCAUGUUGUGUGCAUAAGGAGGCCCCAUAAAAGUUUUUUUACACUCCUAAUGAGAUAAAUCAAUUAUUAACCUUAUAUGUUCAUAAGGAUAUUUUUGAAAAGAUGACUCAACCUAAUGGUAUAUUGUAGAACAAUUUAUAAAGUCGCCAGUAUAUUAAACAAAGAGGCAAUGUUGAUGGCAAAUCAUUGAGAACUCGAACGAACUCAGUGGUACACAGAAUAGAUUCUCUCAAAAAAAAUUGGUGGAGACCGGCUGCAAACCUUCUCUUUUUUUUUUCUUGGUUUUACAUAAAUAUACACAUUUAAAAAGGGAUUUGUAAAACUAUGUUGUUGUCGUAGAAUGAAAGUGCAAAAUCACGUGUUACCGUACGACUUUGCGUGAUGAGGAUGCGAGACUACUUAGGGUCACGCGGUGAGUGCGCGAGACCGUACAGUGCUAGACUAGUAGAAUAUGUGCGAUGUAGCUUAUCCGUGGCAUUGUGCAGUGCUAUAUAUAUUCACACUUGAAUUUUGUUGCAUCUUAUAGAAUUUAAAUUCCAAGUCGUAUAUUUAUGAAGUGAUAUACUCACGCCAUCGUAAAAUAUAAGGACCUAGUAAUAAUGAGAAAUACCCUAGUACUACGAAUCUGGACAAGUCCAUUAUCCAAAUUCGUGGUACUAGAAUAUGUCUCAUCCAGUACUAAAUUCUAAUAUUAUAGAACAUAGCGAGUAUCAUAUCUGUUAAUUUUUUUAAAUAUGUUCAUAACUAUUUAAAAGACACGCAAGCAGCGAUACUAAUUGGUUCGACUGUGCAAACAAACAAUAGCGAAGCAUGGUGAUGAAAUUUGUGAUAGUUUAAGCAACAAUAGUUUAAAAGAAAUCAUUUCCCAUGAUCUCCUGAUCUGAUCCUCCAUUGUCAGAGUCUGGCCACCUACCACCUCACAUGGUAGGUUAUACCAUUUUCUCUGCCACCCAUGAUGAUGAAAUUUCUCAAUUUUUCUGCUCACAAAUUGAAACAAACGGAUAGGAAGUGCAUGAUACUGACAUCAAUGGGUAGUAAGUAGAUCUCAUCCUAAAACUUUACACCAUGUUACAUCGAACAUUUGAACACCUACAUAAAGUAUUAAAUAUAGACUUAAAAAAUAACUAAUUGCACAAAUUGCAACUAAUUUACGAGACGAAUCUUUUAAGCCUAAUUGCUCCAUGAUUUGACAAUGUGGUACUACAGUAAAUAUUUACUAAUGAUGGAUUAAUUAGGCUUAAUAAAUUCGUCUCGCGGUUUACUGAUAGAUUAUAUAAUUAGUUUUUUAUUAGUGUCCGAACACCCCAUGCGACAUCCUAUAUAAUAUCCGAUGUGACACGCCAAAACUUUACACUCCUGAAUCUAAACACCCCUGCAGUUCACGGCGCGGUCACCGCGUCCAUGAACUCCUCAUCAGCGACGAGCUUCGCUAGCGCCACCGGAGUCAGGCAAACCUCCAGCGACAUGCUCCCGGCGCCGGUCGGCCCCUCGUACACCGUCACCUUACCGUCGAACUUGUCCGUGCCGCCGCUCCGCACGGUCGCCGGCCUCCCCCACCCGAAGUCUUUGCCGAACACGUCGAACCGUGGCGAGCUCCCCGUGUUGAUGGCGGUGCCUCCCAUUGGCUUCGCGAAGUUGGCGAACUCCAGUGCCCGCGGGCCAUUGGGCUUGUUUUGUGUAACCCUAGACCAAAAUUUCCCCAUCUCAUCCACCUCCAUCGAUUCCCCCAACACCCAAUCCAGCAAUCCCCCUCCCCAAUCCUCAAUCCCCUUCGGCCGACAGCAGCUACUGCGGUACUUUCUGCUAGAGUCUUGAAGCGACACGCCGCGCGUGGAAGGGCAGGCGAAGGCGAGGAGAGGCAUGGCUGCCAUUUGCGGAAUAAUUAACUAUUUGCCACUCUUAUAAGGGGUGUUAAAUUAUUUGCUACUUGACACAUAGUCCCAUAUGUCAUAGACAACGAGUGACAAAUAAUUAAUUGCAACAUCUUAAAAGUGACAUAAAGUUAAAUGUCCCGCCGUCUGCCGGGCUCCUGGGCGCAGCCACAGAGCUGCGGCAUCCACGCCGGACGGCGGCGCGGCGUGGCAGGCGGCGAGUUAGUGGCCAGCCGGCCAGGGGCGCAGCCGCGCAGGCGCCAAGCAGGGCGGCUGGCGCCGCAGCACCAAGCACCAAGCAAGGCAAGCAUAAGCAGGAGCAGCCAUCAGGCAUCACUCCCAAUCUCCCAUCAUCAGAAAAUGGACAGAAAGAGAAAAGGGAAGGCACUGGCAUCACAGAGAGGUACGCUGUGUUUAGUUUCCUUCAAACUUUUAACUUUUCUGUCACAUCAAAUGUUUAGACACAUGCAUGAAGUAUUAAUAAUGGUACAGUUUGUAUGUAAAUUGCGAGACGAAUCAUUUAAGCUUAAUUACACUAUGAUUUAACAAUGUGGUGCUACAGUAAACAUUUGCUAAUGACGAAUUAAUUAGGCUUAAUAGAUUCGUCUCGUAGUUUACAGACAGAAUCUUAAUUUGUUUUGUUAUUAGUCUAUGUUUAAUAGUUCAAAUAUAUAUCCAUGUACAUAAAAAAAAAUUUACCAAAACAACUAAACACGGCCGUAGUACUUUUUUGCAAAUUUACCAAAAUUUAUCAAAUAUACUUUUUUUUUACAAUUUCAGAACAUUGCAAUUUCAAAGCGUAUCAGUGAAUCUUGAGGAAUUGAGGUAUUUUUUUAUACCUACUUUUAUAUUUACAUUUGUUUGCAAAUGGAUAAUGAAUUGUGAACUUGUGAUUAGUGCUCAUUACUAUGACUUAUUUGAGAUAAUGUUGCGUUGUACAAUAUUGUGUAUUGAAUUUUUUUCUUAAUUCUUGUUCUGUGCUAGCUCUUGCGUGUGGUAGUUUAUUGGCCACACCUAAAUUUUUUUCCGCCCUCCGCCACACUGUACACGUGUGUGCCUCCAUACUGUGAAAAACUUUGUGGUGCGAGCACUUCGACCCUAUCUUCAAUUACAUCGAUCAAUAGGAUCGUCAUCUGCUGUUCUUGGGGAUGAAAUCCUUGAAAUAGUGUCUCGCAGAUACAUACACCCUCUGUUAAAAAAGAAUGGGAUGAAUCUAACAAACAUAUCUAGAUUCAUCUCAAUUUUUAUGGGACGGAUGGAGUGUAUGAUAACAACGAGCGAUACAUACACCCUCCGUUAUAAGAAGAAUGGGAUGAAUCUGACAAUCACUUAUCCAGAUUCAUCUCCAGAAGUUAUUUUUUAUGGAAUAGAUGGACUACAUGACAAGAACAUUUAGAUGCUGUGUGGCAUGCGAGCAUGAGGCAUCAAGAUGAGAAUUUGUGAUUCCGAAAAAUUUUAACUAUUUGCCACUAUAAGAAACAACCAUUCUCCAUAUGCUACUAUUAAUUGCCAUUACGUUUUUGUUGCUACUUUGGUCUAUGUGGUAUGACAGAUGAGUGUGCCAACAUGGGAGUAAGUUCACUUUGACUUCCUUAAAUAUACGUACAAUUUAAUUCGUAUUCCUUAAUCGCAGUAGAUAUCUUAAACCCUCAACUACUAAAACUGGUGCAAAACAACUUUCUCGGUGGCUUUGAGGUUGAUUUUCGCUAACGUGGCUCGCUGACCUAGUCCAACCACUAAGUCAGCAUAUGUGGGCCUACAUGUCAUCCUCUCUUUCUUGUUCCCUUCUUCUUCCUCACCUUCUCUCUCCCCGUCCCCAUCCCACUCCCUAAGCAGCGCCAUUGGCUUCGGCGACAACAGCGAGGCCGCCCUGCCAUCGGUGCCGCCGCGAAAUGUCAACCUGGUUUUAAUAGUCGAGGGUUUAAGAUAUCUGGUAUUACGAUUGAGGGAUACGAAUUAGAUUGGACUUAUAUUUGAGGAAGUCAAAGUGGACUUAUUCCGCCAUCGUGGACAACCAACCCAAUAGGUCCAUUUUGCCCCUUGUAGAUCACACAUGUUAGAGAACAAGCUCUCUCAUGUUUUCCCCUCUCGUAUCGUACUGAUGUUGUUGCUGCUUUACUGAGAAGGCUGGGUCGGGGACCUGUUUUUUAUCAUCUUUUUCACAUUUAUUUCUUUUUCUUUUUCCUUUUUUUCCCUUAUAUUUUAAUUUUGAUAUGCCAAACAUAUUAAUACACAUUCGUCGACCCACGUGUCAUAUUUGGGCCCAUACAACUCGACCUUAGCAUAGCAUGGAUUGUUCCAUGAGUCGUACCGGUGAUGCUUUAAUGGUCUGCACCAUUUGUGGGUCAAUGUCGUGUUGAGCCAGGCCGGCUCUUCAGAGCAUCUCCAAUAGCCUCUCUAUUAGUCUCUCCAAGCCAAAUUUUAGCUAUUCAAGACAAAAAAAAAAGAGCUCCAACAGAUGGCCAAACUCGCUAGCUAGCUGGUUAGAUUUGGCCAGCCAAAACUCCUCGCCAAAUGGUGGGCCCCACAUGCUAUUCCUCUGCGCAGUCGUUGUCGUCGGGUCGUCAUCGAGGUCAUCGUCGCGAGCCGCCGCCACCGUCGCUAGCCUCUGCGCUCGCCGUCGCCAUCCCUGCCCGAAGCUCUGCCGCUGCCCCCCGAAGCUGUCCGCCGCCGUCGCUUCAUCGAGCAGAGCGGGCCGAGGUUGGCAAGGCCAGCGGCGGCCUCUAGAUCCUGUGGGGAGAGGGAGCAAGGACGCCGCCGCGCCGCGCCACGCCACGCCGCCGCCUUCCGCCUCCCCGCGCCGCCUACCCGCGGUGCGCCGCCUGCCGCCUCCCCGUGCCGUGCCGCCACCUGCCGCCUCCCCGCGCCGCCUACCCGCGGUGCGCCGCCUUCCGCCUCCCCGCGCCGCGCCGCCACCUGCCACCUCCCCGCGCUGCAUGCGCCGCCUGGUUGACGACGGGAAGGAAAGAAAAGGGAAAAGAAAGAAAGAGAAGGAAGAAGGGGGAGAAAGAGAGGAAGAAGAGGAGUAGAGGCUGACAUGUGGGUCCGUUGUUAUUUUAGAGAGGAUUAAUAGAGAGUCUGUUGGAGUGACCAUCUAGUUUGAUUAGCCAAAUCAGAUAGAUAGUUAGCUAUACAGGUGUUUGGAGAGUCCAAUUUAAAGAGGCUAUUGGAGAUGCUUUUAGACAGCAAAAACGAAACCCCGUUUGGAGGAUGGCAAAAUAUCAAAUUGGCACGUUAAGGGUGGUAAUGAGUAUUUCACAAUCUUAUUUACCUAGCCCUAAAAUACUUUUAGAUAAAAAUGUAUAAAAAUUGAACACAAUCUAUUUUAAAUUCUGCUCUCAAUUUUUUUGUUAAAAUGUAGGGUCCAUUCCAAGCAACCGUGCGCGGUCGAGUCGUGGAGGCCACCGCCGGCAGCGGCAGGCUCUUUUUUUCUGCCAUGUUCUGAAAACAUCCUGGGGUCCUCUUAAUAAUUUCCCAGAGGGUUAUCCGAGCAAUUGUACGUGGAAGCAACCUAUGCCCCCAAAAAUGAGUUCAGUCCCUUGUUCUACCUAUGAAAAGAACUAACUGAAAUUGGAGGUUGUACUCUUCCAAAUUUCAUCUAGUUCUCUUCGUUUGAAUUUGGGAGAUGAAAUUGGUACUCUAUCUGAAACUAGUGUAUCUGUACUCUUUUUUCCUAUCUAAUCUCUAGUCAUAUUGUUCUAACAUUUGAAUAAGCAGGUGGUCGCUUUGCUUGUAGCAGACAUUAAGAAGAGCAAGAUCAAGAAGAGGAGCUAGCUAGGUGGUCUGAUCAUUGGGUAGAAAGAAUUGUGAACAAAUUAAGGACCCAGGUGUGUGAUCCAAUUAUUUUCCCCAUUUAUGCCAGCUUGAUAUUUUUUGAGUAUCAGAUAAUAGUACUACAAUUAUCAACAGAAACUGUUUUUCCAAUUGUACCCAAAGUCUGCAUAUUUCAGUCUUCUGUGUUCUUCGUCAAUUUUAUAAUGUAGUAGUAAGCUUAGAAAAAUUUCAAACUGUGCCUGUUGUCUUACAUGUUGCUUUCACCACAACUAAUAGAACUUCCUGAGAAAUUAUGUGCCUAUUUGAGAUAGAAUUGUAUUUAAUACAAUUAUACUUUUAGUUGUACAGGCAGACUGCAUGUUGCAGCCUUUUGUGUUGUUCAACUUUAUACUAGACAAGUAAUGUUUGAACAAAAUUUCAAAAUUGUGCUUGUUGUCUUACAUGUAGCUUUAACCAAAACUAGUCAAAUUUCCUUCUAAAUCAUAUGCCUAUUUGAGAUAGAAUUGUAUUUAAUAAAACCAUAUCUUUAGUUCCUAUAGGCUAUACUCUCACAAAACAAAGUUCCUGUCCAUUUUUAGUUAUGGAUCUAUAAUAUAGACCCGCCCUAAUUUCUAGACUUUAUUUAAAAAAAAUAGUAGAUACAUAGGUGAUAGAUUUGCCUUGAACCACUAGAUACAGUAAAUGUAGCUUUGGCAUGGUGCAUCUCUCCCGACAUGGAACUCUUUUUUAUUUUAUAAAGGAAGCUUUUAUUAAUCUCAGACGAUUACAUCAAGUUGAUAGAACCAUACUAAGAAAAUUCCCGGCCUCUGCAUAACUAGGAUGCACACAGCCAAAACAUACAAACCCACAAAAGAGUUUGUAACAAGAGAAGGAAAGCAGUAAAAAUCAGGGAGCACCAAUCUUCAGGCUAGACCGCCACCCAUGUCCCUGGUAAAACAUUCCCUGACCACCUGCUCCAAAAUCUUAGCGUUUAGUUUGAUUUUGUUUGCGUUUAUGAUCAUACAGCAGUGCUCAAUUGGCUAUGGACAAGGUCGUUGGAAUAUUGAGGGGAGCAGCUGGUCUUGCUGCUGACGCCAAUGCGUUCCGGGAAUUCUUCAACUGGGUCACACCACACGUCUUAGCUGCCGUAUGUUCUCAACAGCAGCAGCAACAGCAAGUGGGUUCAGCAGGGACAGGAUCAGCAUCAGCAUCAGCUGGAGAAAGAAGAACAGCUACACUGCAUCAGAUUCAGGAUGAUCUUCAGAAGCUUGAGCACAACCUUUGGGUGAUCCAAACAACCAUUAAUUGCACCCACAAUGCAUGACCUCAUCGACCGCCUUGAGUGGCAUAGCCACAAAGAAACAGAAGCUGGGCACCUUCGCCAGAUAAAGGAUGUAGUGUACGAUGCCGAGGACCUCCUUGAUGAGUACAAUUAUUAUGCUCUCAAGGUGAAGGUGAAGGCGAGCAAGAAUUUAGGGCAAGAUCACUUGCAUGAACCCUUUUUGGAGUUCUUGGGCAAUGUUAACUUCAGUGGCAAAUUCAGGAAAGUGAUGGAAAUCCAAGAAAGACUGAAGCAUGUUUUUGACCAAUCUAACAGUUUAGGCUUGCACAAAACACCCAAGAAGUUUGACAAAAUUGUCAGACCAGAGACAUGUCAUGUCCUCGACGAGCCAGAUGAGAUUUUUGGUCGUGAAAAAGAACUGGAGGACUUGAAACAAAAGCUAAGAGUACGUGGACACAAGAGAGGCAGGCCUGUGGCAUGCAACACUACAGCUGAAGCAAGGAGGACAGAGUUGCUUGUGUUGCCAAUAGUUGGCAUGGGAGGUGUCGGGAAGACAACCAUGGCCCAACAAAUCUGUGUGGAUGGAGUGGUGCGGAAUCACUUCAACAACUGCAUAAUUUGGAUAUGUGUCUCGGAUGAAUUCGAGGUAAACAGGUUAACAAGAGAUGUUCUGAAGUCUCUUGGAGUAAAGUUACAAGAUUCUGAUACAAGGGAUACUCUUAUGGUUAAUUUACGUGAUAGUGUCAAGUCAAAGAAGUUUUUACUCGUCCUUGAUGACAUGUGGGAUGAUGUCUUAAAAGAUGAGAAAGGAUGGAGAACAUUUCAUAGAACUUUAAGCAAUGGUCUUGAGGGCAGUAUGAUUUUGGUCACCACUAGAUCUUCCAAGGUUGCUAACCUAGUCAGCAACAGUAAUCACUAUGAACUGAAGGGAUUGCAACAUGGUGUUUUCUGGAAUUUCUUCAAACUAUGUGCAUUCGGAUCCGUCCAGAGUUGGAGCAACAGUUGUCGCAACAGGCCAGAGCUGGAGCGCAUUGGUGAAGCUAUACUUCCCAAGUUGAAGGGUUCACCUUUGGCCGCCAAAACUCUUGGACACUUAUUGAAAAGCAACCUAAGCAUAGAGCACUGGGAGGACAUAUUGAAAAGUGAGCUAUGGCGAUUAGAACAAGAGGAGACUGACAUUUUGCCAGCCCUUCGACUAAGUUACGUUUACCUGCCACAGGACAUAAAAAGAUGCUUCUCAAUCUGUGCCAUGUAUCCAAAGGAUCACAAAUUUGAAAAGGAUUUUCUAGCAGAUAUUUCGGUAGCACAAGGUUAUGUGGAGCUUGAAAAUGCACCCUCUUGCUUUGAUGACCUUUUAAAUCGGUCAUUCUUUCAGAAAGCAGCUGGUGAGCAUGGUACGUAUGUAAUUCAUGACUUGAUGCAUGAUACUGCACAGCUAGUCUCUAAAGAUGAGUGCUUCAUCAUACAACAUGUAAGUGACCUAGCUAAAAUCCCUUCAAAGGUUCGCCAUCUGUCAAUAUUCACUACUGAAAAUAUCAGCUGUGCAGAAUUAGUGAAUAUUUGCACACACAAUAAAAAACUGCGGUCCCUAGUAUGCAAUGAAUCUUACCGAAGUGGUAAACAUUUUGCUCCUGUGAUUGACUGUUUGUUCAAGGAACUCCUGAAUAUCCGUGUAUUGAUUUUUAAUCUUUCAACAGUGAGAAAGUUUUUUUUUGCGGGGAACAGUGAGAAAGUUACCUGAGAGCAUAAGCAACUCAAAACAUUUGCGUUACCUUGGCUUAUUCGGAAGUUCUACUUUUGAGACCCUUCCUUCAUCUGUUAGCUGCCUCUAUCAUUUCCAGACAAUAAAUGCCAAGGGCUGUGUUUUCAAAAGAUAUCCUCAAGGUUUCAGUGAUCUGAUUUCCUUAAAGAAAAUUGAAUCAUAAGGCUUCAUGUAUAAUAAGGAGAACUGUGAUAAACAAUGCCUGAGAUGGACCCUACCAGGAACAAGUUAUGAAGACUUAUAGAUGAUAGAGGAACAUAUUGAAUUGUUACCUCAUUGGAAUCUUCAAAACUUGGCAAUAGAUAGCUACUAGGGUAAAUCUUGCCCCAGCUGGCUCCGGCCAGACUGUCUGAAAAUUCUAAGUUCACUUAUACUUUCUUGCUGCAAUAACAUUCAGAGUCUAUCAUUCUUUGAACCACAGUUUCCUGAUUCAGAAGAAUCAAAGAACGUUUGUCACCUUGAGGUGCUGGAAAUCUGACAGUGUCCUAACAUCAAUUGAAAAGGUUUGGUAGCUUUACCCUCUUCUCUUACAAAAGCUACCCUUAGAAAUUUUGGCCAUUCAACAUAUCACUUUGUGAGUUGCUUUCAUGGCCUUGCCCUCCUGACAAGUCUGACAAUACAAUGCGAGUUCUUAACAUCUAUUCCCCUGCAAGUUUGGAUAAGUAACCUUAGAUCCUUGGAGGAUUUGCGUUUUUGUGGGUGUAGCUCCCUCACAUCCAUAGGUGUGUCUGAGGCUGUGUUUAGAUCCAAAGUUUGGAUUCAAACUUCAGUCAUUUUCCAUCACAUCAACCUGUUAUACACACACAAUUUUUCAGUCACAUCAUCUCCAAUUUUAACCAAAAUCUAAACUUUGGAUCCAACUAAACACAGCCUGAGGCAAGCAGCAGGCGCACUGUCGGAGUAUUUUCAUCCCUUUCAAAUGUCAUCAUUUCUUCAUGUGAUGCACUGUUGAGUCUUGAUGAGUUUCUUAUGCCCGCUUAUAUGCCUGUGGUGAAAGACCAUUUAGGUAAAAUAUUGCAAAAAAAUGGCAUUACUGCCGGUUGAUGACCUCCAUAGCUUUUCCCACUUGGAGGAGCUAUGUAUUGAGGGCUGUCCCAAGUUGAAUAUGCAGAGGAGAAUGACAUUACCAUCCUCUCUUCGGAAGCUCUGCUUAGUCGACUGUCCAAGCAUAGAGUGCAUAGACAACAGCCAUCUGGGGAGUUCUAUGACACUCAAGGGACUCAUCCUUCGACUUAAUAGCUGUCCAGACCUCAUCUCUAUUGUUGGUGCUAUAUCUGUCUCUGAAAUAAAGUCAGGUUAUAUAAAUGAUUGCCCCAAGCUGAUGGAGAUAAUACAGCCUUUCAAAAGAUAUCACGACUGGUACGUGCUACGGAACCACACUUGAUAGCUCUUUUUUUUCUGUUAAAACUGGUUAUCUCCAUCUAUCAUAGAGUAAUCUCAUUAACUUUUUGAUAUUUUUUUGUACGACUUAUUAUUAAGCUCACAGCAAAUUGCCGUGCUAGAAGUGCUCUCCUUCCUUAUCAUAAAUUGUGUUGUACUCCCUCCGUUUCAAAAUAUUUGACGCCGUUGACUUUUUAGCACAUAUUUGACUGUUUGUCUUAUUAAAAAAAUUUAUAAAAUAUGUAAAACUAUAUGUGUACAUGAAAGUAUAUUUAACAAUGAAUCAAAUGAUAUGAAAAGAAUAAAUAAUUACUUAAAUUUUUUGAAUAAGACGAAUGGUCAAACACGUACUUAAAAAGUCAACAGUGUCAAACAUUUUGAAACGGAGGGAGUACUUGUAGACUCGACCAAAUCUCAUAAUUGGUACUCCCUCCAUCCUAAAAUAUAACAACUUUUAGCCAUCAGGAUUUGCUAAAAUAUAGCAACUUCUCCACCAACAUUCUCUUCCCAACCAAUUAUAACUUUCCACCAUUCAUGUUUUCCGCCUAUCUCCACUACUCAUCCAAUCACAAUCCUCCACCAGUUACUUCUACCUACUUUUUUAAUAACCGUGUCCAACCCUAAAACUUCUUAGAGGCUUCUCCGGUCCAGCGUUCUGUACCUCGAGGUACAUGUAACGUGAGGUACCGAUUACAAUCCAACCGUUGAUCUCUAGAGGGGUACGAUGGGUAGUGAACGAAGAGAAACUCAGCGACGCGCAUAGGCUGGCCACCGACACGAACAGGGCGAAGGGGACGGGUGGCAAUCAACCAGGGCCAGCUGGGUCUGGGCUCCCGACGCCUCGGCGCCUGCCUCGCGACGUGGUGCAUCGGCGUGGUGACACCUCCAUGUUCCACCGCUCCGUGGAUUGAGCGGCCAGGAGGUCAAACGACGCCAGCGGGGAGAAGCAUAAGCUGCGAGGCUGACGCGAGAGAUGAUGGUGAAGGAAAGAUGAAGAUGCUUGCCUACUAGUGAAGGAUCGAUAUGAUGUACUGGUCAUGCCAUGGACAGCAGCAUCCUGUUCGUCCUCCAGUCCACGAUUCAUGUUGCUUCAGAUUGGUACCGAGCUCGUCUUUGCUUGUGUUCAGGCGGGCACUGAGCUCGUCGCUGUGGACAUCUCUUCGUUGGUGCAUUGAGGUCGUCGACGCCCUGAGCUAUAUCGGCUCCCUGCAGUCGGCGCGGCCGGAUUUGGACCGGGAGCAGGAGGGGCAAGUUGGGAUUGGGCAGGGUGGUGAUUGCUGGUUGUAGCGAGGGAGGCGGAGGCCAGCGAGCUUGGCUGCGCCGCCGCCGUCGAGGAAGGAAGGGGAUCGGGAGGAGUGAGAUUGCCGGUGUCGGGGAUUCAAACCGUCUCUGCGAAAACUGUCUAUUAUGCGAAAGUCCAAUUCUGCCCUUCAACUUGUUCCACGUAGAGGUGGCCAAACGGGCCGGGCCAAAACGGGCGGCCCGAGGCACGGCGGAACCUGUAGCCGGCACGGCCCGGCACGGCCUACUACAGUAACGGGCCGUGCCGGCACGGCACGAGUAGCCGUGCCGUGCUUGGGCCGCCGGCCGAGCCCGCGGGCCGGCACGGCACGGCACGGCUACUGUAGUAAGUCCGCAUCUCAUCCUUCCGCAAGUCCGUAUCUCAUCCCUCCCAACUGACGGCCCAGCCCGCUAGCCGCCUCCGCAAGUCCGUUGAGCACCCCUCCUAGCUGAUGGCCCAGCCCGCCAGCCACCUCCGCAAGUCCGCAUCGCAUCCCUCCGCGCCAUUUCGGUUCCUGGGCCAACCGUGCCCCGUCCACGGCCCAUUUUUCAUUCACGGGCCCGUACUGACACGGCGGGCCACACGCAUGCCGUGCCGGCACGGGCACGGCCCGGCCAUCCACGGGCCGUGCUUGGGCCGGCGGCUCGGCACGUGGGUCGGGACAGGCACGGCCCGUUUCAUGAGCCGUGCCUAACGGGCCGUGCCGAAACGGGCCGUGCCGGACCCGUGCCCGUGCCGUGCCGGGCCGGGCCGCCCGUUUGGCCACCUCUAGUUCCACGCAUGCGAAUGAAGUGGGAGGUAUCCCACACGGGACUCCCGUACCUCGCAGUACCAGUGAUUGUCAACCGUUUGAUCUCACUGGAUGGAUGGCUCCGAUUAUAGUAUCGGGAGGUACCAAAAACUAUGAUGGACGGUAAAAAAUCUCAGCUUCUUAAAUUCUGGGACAGAGGGAGUAUUAUAGUUAGUCGUAUUUUCAUCAACUGUGGUAAACGGACUGUUUCUGCUUGCUGUCAAUUCCACAAUAAGCCGAUACUAGCUUUUUCAAGACUUUACUUUUAAGAUACUAUGCUAUACAANAGUUAGUUGNUUAGAUUUAGCUNUGCNGCAGGAAAAGAAAGCUGAAACGAAGUACGAAUUGUACUGUUUAUAUUCAUUGGAUUUGAUAGUUAAUUGCCAUCGAUGUGCAGGAUGUUCUUAUAAUGUUGAGCGUUCAAGAUGAUUUCAGAUGCAAACAGCAUAGCACAUGCCAACAUAAGUUAUGUUGGGGAUCAGGGAGAAUCAUCUCGGCAAUCUCUGCAUCAUGCACUUAUAAGAUAAUGUUUGCAGUUCAGAAUAUAUAUCUGAUAAUAUACUGUAUUAUUAUAUAUUGGAGAGAGUCAAAAGAAAGUGCAGCCUAAUCAGACCAUGGGUAUUGGCUAGGAGAUGAGAUUCUUGAGAACUGAAUUUGUGGGUGUUACCUCGUGGGAAAUGUGUAUUUUACUGGAUGAUACCCCAUGCGUUGAUGUGGAGAUUUCUCCUUUUCAGCUAUUUGGACCAUAUAUCCUCAUGACCCUAGAAUAGUUCUAUAUCGGACAUAUAUAAAGCUUCGAUCCCUAAAAGCUCUCGUGAUAAAAGGUGGCAUGCAGGCGGCCACAUUAGGGCAUUUACAAUGCACCUACGUGACGCUCAGCCUGAGAGAAAGGAAUGGCAUAUUCGGUGCCACGUCCUUCACAUGUGUAGCCAAGUGAAGACCGAGUAGCCAAACUUGGUCACCCGUUUUUGGGCUGAAAAGCAUGUGAAAAGCGCAAGCGCAGCUGGGAAGAGGAGAGAGAGCGCAUUGGGAAAAGCACACACAGAAGCACAAGCACAGCCGCCCCACACCGUCGUCGCCACCGCUGCGCAGCCGCCUGCCGCCGAACGACGCCGUAGCUGCUCGGGCCACGGCACGGAGGCUGGAGGAGGAAGGGGGAGGUGCCGCUCCAAGUCGUCCUCUCCGCCCCGCCGCGGUGGAAGGCCACAGCGCCGCCGCCGCCGCACCCCGACGAGCCGAUGCCACCGGAUCUGGGCAGCUCGGCCACGCCGUCGUCGCGACUCGCCGCCGCUGCGCUGCGCCCCGACUUGCCACCGUGGCGCCGCGCCCAGACUCGUCGCUGUCGUGUCCUCUGCCGCCGUGGAGCGCCAAGCCCGUCUCCGGUGGAGGGAGCCGCCGGUAGGAGGAGGGAGAGGUGAGGUGGCACCGCCGGUGGGCUGAGGAUGGGAAAGGUGGCACCGGCGGGGUCACCGGAGUUGAGUAGAGAGGGGAUCGUUUGGGAGGGGAUGAGUGGGGAAAAGUAAAGAGUAGAUAGAAGGAAGAUGAAAAGCAUCUGAUGGUGGGACCCACUAUAAGAGAGAAGGUAGUUAUUUGCAUUGUGGGAUGGGUGGCUUUGUAGGAGUUUCAUCCAAUGUGGCUUCCCAGGUUCGGUGUUGGUGCGAGACGCACUGUAAACUUCUAGAGUUCUAGUAUAGAGAGGACUAGACUAGAGGGCUUUAUUGUCUUAAAUGAAGUCCUGUUGAAACACUACCACAUGAUAAUAACAUUUAGAAAUAGAGUAUCUUUUAAAAAAAAACUCAGGUUUUAGGGAAUGCAUAAUGUAAAACCACAUGAUAACAACAUUUAGAAAUAGAGUAUUUUAAAAAUAAAAAAAACUCAGGUUUUAGGGAAGGCGGAAUGUAAAACCUCAUUUUUUGAGGCAAAAUGUUUCAACGUAGAUGUUUCAUAUUGUGAAUAUAGACCUAUCCAUCAGAUUCAUACUAAUAGGUGAUAUUCUAGUAUAGGUUGCUAUAUUUUUGAAUAAAAGCACAUUAAACUUAACAUCUAUGUUUCUCCCUCCCAUUAAUUCAUGUUCUACAUAUCCAACAUAUAUCUGCCUUGCUUAAUAGGACUUUCUCCCACCACAUAGUAUCUUAAGAGCAAGUUUUAUAUUACAUCUAAUCUUGUCCAUGUCAUUUCCG
rnacentral:lncRNA from 1 species